rnacentral:lncRNA from 1 species
CGAAGGACCUGUCGCUGAAGGCCAAAAACUGACCGCCGGUUGGGAGCUUGCCGUUGAAAUUGUUGUAGGAGAGAUCCAGCGUUGUGAGGCUAGACAUGAAGCGAAUCUCGUCGGGGAUUGGUCCUGUUAUCAGGUUUUGAGAAACAUUCAAAACGCUCAAGCUCGUUAGGUUUUUUAUGCCCUUGGGAAUCUCCCCCUCCAGCAUGUUCCGACUGAGGUCAACGAAGUUGAGUGAAACGCAGUGAAUCAACGUCGUGGGGAUUGCUCCUGUGAGAUUGUUGCCGCUUAUGUUGACGGAGGUCAGUAUUGGUAAGUCAAAAACCUCCGCCGGGAUUUCUCCAACGAACUCGUUGGCGUCGAGUGAGAGUGUCUGCAGUGCCCUCAAGUUCUUCAAGGCCGGUUGAAUUCUCCCCGUCAGUAAGUUGUUGGAAAGCGUGAGAAUCCCGAGAGAAUCGCCGGAAAUCUCAGGAGGCAGUUCGCCGUCGAAACGGUUGUUGGCGAGCUCGAUUAUUUUGACGGAAGGCAGUUUGAAAAUUCCCGACGGAAUGGCGCCGCUAAGGUAGUUAUUGGAGGCUCGGAUCUUGACGAGAGACUUGCAGUUUCCAAUGUCAUUGGGAAUAGGACCGUGGAAGAAGUUAUCGGUGAUGACGAAGGUUUGUAACCUCCCACUCUUGCACAGACCCGGAGGGAUGAACCCGGUGAAGUGAUUGCUCGUGACGUCGAAGAACUUGAACUUCCCGUUUUGGCCAAGAUUCUGGGGCAGCACGAAGGACAGGUUGUUCUCCCAGAGCUGCAGCGUUUCCAGAUUCGGAAGCUCGCCGACGAAGAGGGGAACAGAACCGCGCAGCUUGUUGUGGAAGAAGUUCAUCAGAGUGAGGUUUCUCAGCUGGGAGAAACUCUCAGGAAUCUCUCCGGUGAGACCGUUGAAGGAGAGAUCCAUUGACAUGAGGCUCUCCAUGGCAGAGAGUUCCGAAGGAAUGGUUCCUGUGAGGUUGUUCAUUUGCAAGAACAACGUGUCAAGGUUCUUUAAAUUGCUCAGGCUCGGUGGAAUCUCUCCGCUGAGGUUGCAGCUGGAAAGGUCAAGGUAUUUAAGUGAUUUCAUGGCUCCGAACUCCGGUGGGAUCCCACCUUCGUAAGCGUUGUUGUAUCCGAGUUUUAGAUACUUCAGCGUCUUCAACCGAGACAAACUCUUGGGAAUCUUCCCCGACAGACUGUUAGUGCUUAAGCUCAAAAACUCCAAGCACAAAAACUCCGAGUAUCUCUCCGGUAUGCUGCCGGAAAAGUAAUUUCCGUCGAGCUUGAGGUAUCGGAGUUUCUCCAGUUUCACGAAUUCCUCCGGAAGGGGUCCGGUGAAGUUGUUGUCGUAGGCGUCGAGGACCUCGAGUUGGGUCAUGGGCAGAACGAUUUGGCCGGGGAAACUGCCGGAGAAGCUGUUGUGGGAGAUGUUGAGGAGCUUGAGGGAAGCGAGGGAAGCGAGCUCCUUGGGAAGCUCCCCGGUGAGGUUGUCCUGCGAGAUGGUUAGGUUUUGGAGUUUGUCAAACUGUCCAAUCUCCGGCGGAAGGUGGCCGAAGAGUGGAACGGAGGAGACGUUGAUGGCAACGACUCGAAGGUCUUGGUCGCAUUGGACGCCAGAAAAUGAACAGUGUGCGGAAAGCGAGGUGGAAAACUUCCAGUCGCUGAGCGCAUCUUCUUUGGCUUUGUGUCCCUUCAUGGAGUCCUUCAUCUUCAGCAGCGCAUCCAUGUCACUGAAAGAAGAACACUUGGCCAGGCGGAACCAUACGAAAAGAAACAGCAAUAGCGUGUAAGACGCUGAGCUUCUCAUGUCUCUGUUGCUUCCUACUACUAUUACUACUACUCCCUUUCUCAUAUACCUUUGCCAAAUGCAUACAUUUGGCUGCCUCCUUCUUUUGACACCACACACCUCCUCCUGUCUGCUAUAAAUAUUAUGUGUAGAUAUUUAAUCAAAUACCAUGUGUGCAUGGUGGCAUCGCAUGCAAUCAAUGAUAAAAGUUCUUCCAAGUGGAUGCCCUGAAAAAUAUAAAGAUAAAAGAAUAUUAAUAUGCAGCACCAGUAGCUCCACGAGAUCCACUAUAAGCUUGUGAAACAUCAAGUAUAAUUAUGUUUGAAGAAAAUUGUAUACCAAUUUCUAAUGCAGAGAUCAAUAUUAUAUUAGUGGUGGGUGAGGUCCUACCAGCAAUUAGUCUAGGGGAGAAAGUUUAUGCAAACCUUGUCAAAUCUUUUUAUUCUUGGUAUAUUGCAUUUUAUAAUAUGACUGUAAUAUUCUUACACUCUACUAAUUAAACAUUUUGAUGAUGAAAUAUGCUUGGCUCACCACUAGCAGCCGAGUCAGCUGGAAGGUGGAGUUAGCUUUUGUGAACACAGAGAUGCAAAAUUUCUUUCUCAGCAUUUAUGGAGCCUAACUUUGAAAUGAAACGAAAGUGAUUUUACGUGAUGCACCAAAUUAAAAAAAGGGGAAUAAAAGAAAGUUCCUUUACGUAGAAGUCUUCUUAGCUACUGUUCUUUGGUAUAUCACUGGGAUUAUUAUUGCUCAGGGCAAAGCAAAGCAUCAAUUCCGUGUUUUAAGUUGUUCUGUCAACGAUCAAUAACCAGAUAUAUUGCAGAAUCGUAUUCUAUGCAUUGCAUGACGAUUAAUGGAUAUGAAUCAAUAACAUUUUAAAGCAAAUUAUUCAUCGCAACUUGCUCUGUUCCAAAUAUUAAGCUAAAUGCAAAUUACCAUUUUGGAGUUUUCAUAAUAGAAUCAAGACAAACCAGAUGAUAUAUAUGUAGAUAAGUACAAGUGGAUUUUUCAUUAAGUUUUCAUGCAUGUCCCUUUUAUGCAUGUACUGUUAUACAAUCAUACAAAUGGACCUUACGGAAAAAAUCACUAAUAAGGAACGAUCGGUUACAUAAGUUUAAAUCUAUCAUACGCCAUACAAUUUUGUAAAUAAUAUAAGAAUUGUUCGGUGGGAUAUGAUGCUUCUUAGCAAUAUAAGUCUCUAAAUACUACUUCAAGCUAAGAUUACUCGUAAGUGCUACUUAACCGGUAAUGGGUUAUGAUUGGGCUGUGAUUAGGAUUUUCCUAAUCUCAAACUCAUCUUGAAAAUUAUAAAUAGAGGUUAAAAAUAAGGAGGUAUGUGAUUGUAUUUAUUGUAAAUUUAAGACUUUACUCUGAUUUCAUUCGAAUUAAUCACUAACUUAAGUAUUAGAGUGCUUUUAACAGGCACACCCUAACAGUUUGAAAGGCGUGUAAAGACGAAAUUUGGAUCAAAAUAUACACAAAUACCUAAGAUAAUCUAGAAAGAAGUGUGAAUGAGUGUUUUGUGAAGACACUCCAUCCUACAUCCGAAACAAUAAUAAUAUGAUAUUAUCCAUUUCUAGAUCAAAUUCUCACAUAUUUAUUUUUUUAACAUCUUAUGUGUAUAUAAACUAAUAUUUAUCUACUAUUGAAAAUGAGACUUUUGUUUAUAUCAUGAGUUAUCUAAAUUUCUCAUUAUUUUCAAUUUUAACAUGUUCUUAAUUUUUUUUAUCACUAUAUGUUCAGUGAAGGGAUUCCUCAAAAUUGUCGUAGCCUUUUGUUGUGUAUUUGGGUCGAUUGUAGCUACUUUAGAUGAUUCGUAUUUGGCAUGUAAAAAAAAAGGAAAAAACUCAAAGAACAUUGAUAAAAGAAAAUGGCUAGAGACAAGUUUUUUCUUUUAUUGAAUGGUUAAAAAAGUGUUAGAAGGUCAAGAUUCUCACAGUAUUUGAUGAUUUUGAAAUUGGGAGGCACUGAUAAACGGAAGAGUGGUACGUGAUUCUCAAAAGUGUUGAAUAAUUGGGUUUUGUCAACUCCUAUGAUGAUAGCGACAGUGAGUUAGUGUUGUUGAAGUGCCCACAAAAAUCUCAUAUUAUUGGCCCUUUUCGUUACUUCGUCUUUUUCGUGGCAGACAAUGUUAAUUCCCUAAGCCUAAUUAACUUCUAUAUUUAAUUAUUUCCCCUUUUAAAAUAUGCAGUUGAAUCCAACAACACAUUAUCUCCUACAGAUACACUCGAUUUUGUCCUUAAAAUACUUAAAAGAGUUAAAUAUAUUUUUAAACCUUUAAGUAUCACUCGAUUUUAAUUUUAGUUCCUACUCGAAACAUCUAUGGUUUUUAAUUUUUAUUGUUUUGAAACUCUCACUUUUGGUUCUUAAAAUUAGACGGUGUUAUCUUUCAGUACAUAUAACAAACGGCAAAUCCAUGACAAUGUCAGCUUUCUUCUUCAUUGUCCUCACGUUACUUUUGAUUUUAAUGAUCAGAUUAGUGAUUAUCACGUGUUUUGAUUGAAAUUAAAUUAGUGAUUUUAAGGACCAAAAGUGAGAGUUUCAAAAUUACACUUGUAGUAAUUACUUUUUUUUAUAGGCUUUUGAGUGUUUAGAGAUAAAUUUGAAUAUAAUUAUCGUUGAUUUGAGUGGUUGGACCGUAUAUAAUGUGUUGAAUUGAUAUAAAAUAUAUAUUAUUAAGAAAUACUUGAUAUUUUAUUUGUUAAUAUAAUUGAUAAAAUUAUUAAUUGGUUGGUUGAUAAUAAAUAUAUUUUUUAUAUAGCCAGAUGUGGGAAUGUAUAGCCUUUGAGCAACUUAAAUAUUUUGUUAUACUUAGGAGUUACUCUACUUGCUAAUCUAAUCAAGGUAGGAAAAAAAAUUAAGAGAAAAGGAGAAAAAUAACACAAAAAUGAUAAAUAAAUAUGUUGAGUUAGGCUUAUCGAUAAAUUGGUUUUAUCGAUAAGGGUUAAGAUAAGUUGCAAUUUAUGAUUCUCCAAUUUUUUGUUAGGAAAAUGUUUUGUUUCCAUAGGAAUUUUUUAUUAGUUUAUAAUUUGUAAUAAUUUUUUUUAAUCGUUGUUACCAUUAUUAUUAUAGUUAAGAAAAAAGGAGAUAAAUAUUUAAUCUUUGGGUGUUUCGUAAUUCCAUUCUAUAUAUUUAUAAUUUGUUAUUCUGCUUAAGAUUAUAAUUAAGGUUUUUUUUUUUUAAUCUAGAGACCAUAGUAUCUUAUUUUUCUUUAUUAUUUAAUUAAUUAUUUUCAUUAUUGUGUUGGUUAAACCAAACUUAAAAUAAUAACUCGAGAAGGUCAUCAAACCACGAUCUGUCCUCUCCAAAUAGUUUUAUAUUUUCAUUUCAUUCAAUAAAAGAAAAGAUUAAAACUUAAAUCGACAAAAAGUCUACAAGUAUAUAAGUUUUCAGUUUUAAGUAUGUGAUGACAAAAAUUUUACACUAAUAUUGUAUAUUUAAGUCCUACAUUAAGUAAAUAAAAAAGUAUUUUAUAAGAAUUUAAAUGAUGAUUUAAGUUUAUAUUAAAUAAAAAUAAGAAAGUAUUUUGUAAGAUAGAAGAUUUUUGAAAGAUUCAUCACUCAUAUAAACAUCAUUUUUUUUUAAUGAUGAAAUCAUAUGAAUAUAAUAUAGUCAAAUAAUCAAUUAAUAACUAUCUAACAAUUUCUCUUGAUAGUUUAUUAUUUUAUAUUUAUUUUACUUCUUUUCAUUCAUAACUUAAACAUUGAUUUUAAAUAUUUUGGAUUUUAAUAUGUUGUUUUGAUAUCUCGAUUUUUUUAUUAGUUUUAUUCUGUCACAUUUUAUUUUAUUUUAUUUUAUUAUUUACUUAUUUUAUCUUUUACGUGCUAACAUAUUUUUAUCCUGGAUCACGAUGAUGGCACAUAGUUCAUGAGCAAUAAAGAACACAAGAGAAUAUAUAGGUCGUUGGGUUGAUUAAGAACAUAAUUAAGAAUUCAAAAAAAGUUUAUAUAUAUAUAUAUAUAUAUAUAUAUAUAUAUAUAUAUAUAUAUAUAUAUAUAAACACCACCAAUUAGAUUAUAAAAAUAUGAAUAUUUUUAAGUUUAAUUUCUUUUACUGAUUUUUAGUUUUAAAUAAAUAUUAAUAAUUUUCGGAAUAUUUUUAUAAUAACAUAUUCAUUGUGUAUAACACUAAUUUAAUUUAAAAUUGAUGGCAGAUUGUAAUACCUUGUACUAAAAACUAUAGAAAAUAAAAGUACAUACUUCUUACCGAAUAUUGCAGAAUUUUUUUCACUUCUGUAUUUUGUUUGAAUUUGCUUCUAAAUUAAAAAAAAUGUCGAGAAGUAUUUCUCCAACUACAUGAUCGAGGUUAUAAUGUUCUUACCAAGAAAAUCUAAAGACAAAAGGUUUUAAAGGGGAAUUUUUGUAAGUAAAUGUGUAUAAAGUUAAAUAUUUUUGGUAUAUUUUUUAAUAAGACUAAUGUAUUAUUAUAUUUUUAAUGUGUAUUAGGUGGCCAUGCACUUCACAAUCUUUUUCAAGUCAAAGAUGCAGUUUAUAUUCCUUACAUUUGUGGAGGUUUUAAGCUUUUCAUUUGAAAUUAAACAAAAGUUGUUUCACCUAAUUCAGCAAAUUAAAGAAAAAAUAAAUAAAAGAAAGUUUUUUUUUACGUGGAAGUUUCCCUAAUUACUGUGUUUUGUGUGAUAAUUACUGCUAUGAAAAUGUUAAAGCGUGACACAUUUUUAUAUUUAUUUGUAUAAGAUUUUAAUGGUUAUAAAAUAAUAAAUUUUAUAUUUUUUAAAAGAAGAAAAUAAAAAUUAAGAAAUAAUAAUAUAAAAUAAAUAUUGAAAAUUUAUCUAUAUCAAAAUAUUUUUUUUUCUUUGUUUAAUUUCUUCUGUCAACUAUAAAGCACUAUACGAUAGUGCAGGAUCUUAUUCUAUUUGUGUCACAUUCAUUUCAAGUGGUUUCGCACCAAACAUUGCCAUUUAAAUUUUAAACCACGUUGCAGCUUGCUUGAAACCACCAUUUAUAUGAUAAUUAAAUAUAAGAGCAAUGGCUACAUAAUAUUAGUUCAAGUAGCUAUUAUUUUCAUUCUUUUAUAUAUAUUUUUUUAAUUUUAAUUCUUGGGAGUAAAAGCGCAGUUAAAAAUAAAUGUAUAAAAUAUAAAAUUAAAAAGAAUAUAUAAUAUGCUUCAAAGAUUUCCCACCUGUUACAUAACCAUGAAAUUUAUAAAUAUUUCAUGUUAUAACUUUAUUGAUAAAAUGAAGUAAAACUAAUAAUGCAUUCUCAGAUUUCUUAACUAUUGCGACUUUAGUUUAUUUGGUUUACUUCACAAUAUAAUGAAAAAUAGUACUUUAAAAGUAAAAAUAAAUUGGAAAUGCUUCAAAGUAACAAAAUCAUUAGAAUAAUAAAUUAUAAAUUCUUUCAAGUUAGAAAUUUAUAGAUAAAAUGAAGUGCAAAGAAAAUGGACUUUCAAAUAUUUAAGUUGGUGCAACUUUUCUUAAGUUUGAUUAUUUGCUCCGCAAUUUUUUAUCAAAAAUAUAAUCUGAGUAACAAAUACUAUAAUCGAAGUAAAAUCGAUGUACCUAAUAUUUCUUUGUUGUCAUUCCACAACAUAAUGCAAAAGAAUGCUCAACAAUUGAAUAAAAAACAAUUAAUCCAUAUCACAACAUUAUGGAAGUUACAGAAUAAAAUUGGACCGAGAUAAAACCCUAAUACAUUUUUCUCAACUAGAAAAAGUACAGAAAAUUGACUGCACUACAUUUGUUUAAUUAGUCUAUAGCAGUGUCACGUUAUAGAUUAAACAUUUGCCACUAAAACAUACUUUCAGUAAAUAUAUUUUGAUUUUCAUGUACAACUAACAAAUAUCGAUAAAAAAAAGUUUAAAUAUGUGUUAAUUUUGGUAUGGUGGAAAACAUUUGUAAUUAAAGUUUUAUAUGUUGAUAACAUUUUAAUUUAUAGAAAUUCUGCUACAUUAAAAAAUGUAAAGAAAAGGUUCUCUCCAUUAUCUGUUUUAAAUAAAAUGAAUGGGAAAUUUGAGUAAGAGUACGAGGUUAACUAUGGAAUCAUUCAAAAAAUAAAAAAAAUCCAACUAUUCAUUAGAGAGUUUAGGAAAGGAAAAAUAAAGAAUGGAUUUCAACUAAGAAAUUUAGUCAAAUGUAAUGUCUCAACUCAGUAACUGAAGUAAAAGCACGAUCCUCUGUAUGAACAAGCUAGUUAAGGUUUUGGGCUUACCAAACCAAAAAUGAUGUAAGCAGCCCUGCAAAUACUACAGCUCAUAACUUACCACAGAAAGUUGCGAGCGACUAGCGAUGUUGGACAAGUGAAAAUAAGAUUACAAAGUGUAGAUCACAGCAUCUUCGAUGAUUCACAAACAUGAUAGCAUAAAAUUAUCACUCAAGUCCGGAAAGAAGGAAUGUAUCCCAUUAAAAAAUAAUAAGGAUGUAUAUAAGGCUACAAGUUGCAUAAAAAUGAAAACAAAAAUUUUACCCAACAAACUACCGACCUGCCAGAAGUAUACAAAAAUGGUUGUCAUUCACCAGAUUGAUUAGCAGAUGACUACACCGCUAUUACACUUUAGUUUUCAGUUUUCUUUUUUUUCCCUUUCUUCUUGCUUGGCAUUUCAGGAGAUUCUUCUUGCUCUGCAUGCUUUUUCCGUUUUUUCUUCUUCUCUCCAGCAUUCAAGUCGCCAUUCCCAUUCUGCAACUCAGUACUCUCACUAGCCUCCUUCCUUUUCUUCUUCUUUUCUUUCUUCUCAACUUCGGGUUCUGGCUCCUCAGCAACAUCAGCUUCAACAGUUGGUUCCUCUUCAUUUUUCCCCUUCUUUUUCUUCUUUUCCUUCUUUUCUUUCUUUUUAUCAGCAACAGAAGCCUCUUGUUUAUCCUCAUCCAUAGCGGAAUUGACAAUUUGCCCGAUAACUGAAUCAGCCGAAGCAUUAUAUGUCUACAAGGAAAAGAACAAUCAGCAUAGAAAGAAAAAAAAAUAAAGUUAUUAAUAACACCAAAAGGAACAAGAAACAAACCUUAGCCGGGGUAAUCAGUCCUCCCGCUCCUUUCUUUCUGUCCUUGUCAUAUGCUUCUAUCUUAGGUUUUCCCUUAGCAGAACCGGCAAAACGGCCCAACUCUUUGCCUUCAAGAUUCCUCAAUCGCGCCUCAAGCUGCAGAAAAAACUUGUUAAAAGACUAACAGAAAAAAAAAAAAAAAAAAAAAAAAAAAAAAAAAAAAAUAUAUAUAUAUAUAUAUAUAUAUAUAUAUAUAUAUAUAUAUAUAUAUAUAUAUAUAUAUAUAUAUAUAUAUUAUAAAAACAAAACACAUGUACCUUGGCUCUGUUCUCCAAUCCCAUGGUGUUGUCUUGGCCAUCUCCAAGUGCGUCACACCUAAUAGCCAAUGCUGUCUUUGCAGCAAGUGACCGAGAAAUUUUCCCCUUGAACUUUGCAGCUGCCUGACCAAUCAAAGAUGCAUGGUAUAUAAGACCAUACUUGGGAGUAGCAUGCUUAGUUUUCAGUGCCCUGAAGAGAGCCUUCUCAGCACCAAGAAUCUGCACAGUGCUACCAGGCUGCUUUGCAAGAUUUAAUAAGCUACCACCGUGGGCAAUGAGACGAGCACCAACAAGCUCCCCAACCAUCGCAGUCAAAUUGGGUGCAAUGGUGUUCAUCCUGCUCUUUAGAUAAUCAUAUAGUUGUGCCCUGUAUUCCGAAAGAGCCAAAACCUGGUCACAGAGUUCCCUAAUAUUUGUCAAAUCAAGAUCACCGAUUUCAGUUCCCAUAGAUAUUACAGCUGCCUCCUUAAGUUCUGCCUCCACUUCCUCAGACAAAAUCUGGGACAAAACGUAAGAAAAUAAUUAAAAAUCUAUAAAGAAACAUAGUUAAAGAUAGAAAUAUCACUUUUCACAAAAAAGGAUGCCCAAAUCGUUCACCAGUGGAGUAAAAGUUGAACAUUACAACUCAUUGUGAACCACAUGUCUGCUUAAAUGCCUAAAGAAGGGCAGCAUUUAACUGAGAUUAUACCUCAGAGAAAUCAAGCUCAGCUGCAUUGACACGAUCACCCAUCAACUUGACUGCCCUUGCAUAUUGGAUGUUAUCUUGUACUAUUUUAGUCAGUUCGGGAAAAUGCCAACCAUACCAUUCACGAACCCUCAUGGCAUAUGUAUUCAACUCUUUGUCAAGAUCAUCAAGUAAACCAAUAGCUUGUACAAUCAUGGUGUCCACCUAAUCAAACAUCUUGAAGUCAGCCAACAGUUAUUCAAUAAACAAUCAUUCACGAAGGUAAAAAUUUCCAUAACAAAAAUAAAUUGACACAGUCUUGUUUAUAAGUCUACAUCUGAAGGCCAAAGAUUCAUCGUAUUCCAUCUCCAACUAUUUUCAUGAAAUGCUAAAACCGAUUCUUUGGUAUCAGUUAUUCGAACAUGUAAAAUAUGUAGCCAGUGAAAACUCCUGAAGAUAUCAAACCCAAAAAAUAAGGCCCUAAAUUGGAAAUAAGAUGUCAGACAACAUGCAAACUAUGAACUCUAAACAAGAGCACUAAACACAUAAUUUGUGCCAAUGAUAGAUGUCAUGUAUGAGACAUACUUUAUUUCUAAAAUGUAAGAUGUAAAAGUUUAAAUACAAAUAUCAGGACAAAACAUUGGAAUUAGAUACGAGAUAAAAUUAUGACUAUUAAGAAGUUGAAGCAUACACAUUCUAAGAGCAAAUGAGAAUAACACCCGCAAUAAUUCAUCAAACUCCCCACCAUACCAAUUUUUUUCUUUCAUGGCAUUAAAAGCCGUAAAUUGUUCAUAAAGCAAUAAUCAGUGUACUCCUAUAAGGUUGUAGUAACCAUUAAAAGAGGUAGGCGGUUUUGUGCAAUUUCUGAGAAAAAAUCAAAGGGAACAUGUGUACUAUUCUCAUAUUCUAACCAUGUGAGUCUCCUCACAUUAUAUGAUUCACAAAAGCUUCACAGCCUUCAGAAAACAAUUAUAUCUUCAUUCCUAGCAAUCAGUACACUAUUUGGGGAGAAUUCUUUGAUGAAUACAAGAGUAGGAUAUAACUUCAACAUAUGAAAAACCUAAAGGAUGUCAAUAUACACAAUACAUAAUAGGAAAACAUAAUUAAAAAUGAUAAAAGAACAAUUAUAACGUCAAGUUCUUAUAACCAUCAAGUCAACAGAAAUUACACCUUAUCUGCGCUAAACUUCAACUUGUAUCUGGAUAAGCUAUGGGAUAAACCCAGGCUCAUUGGAGCCAUGUCUUGAACAGCUAGACCAGAUAUGAGUUCAGUUAACUGAUUUCUGACACCUCUCAUCAACUCCAUGACUGCAUUGUUGUGAAUACAAUCGAUUUUCUAAAAGGAUCAACAAAACAAAUUAAUUUAUCAGAUAGAUGAGUGGAAAAUAAAUUAUCGUAUCACAUGUUCUAUUGGAAAAUAAGGUGGCCCACCAAUUUCUCUUUAAUCACAUUCCCAAGUUUUGAAUCGGCCACACCAAGUGUUUCAUUUUCACAAUGAACACGCAAGAACUUACGCAGACCCUUGCUUGCUUUUCCAUCAAUUAGUAAAGUCGCUGCUUCUAGAGCUUCUGAAGUGUUCUCGAACUUAGAAAACGCUUUCAACUUGACAACCUAAAUUUGUGGAAAUUUGGAUUAGCUUCACAAGCAAUUAUAAAUAGAUUGAGCACAGUUUUCACACUGUCACAUUGAUAACAUCAAAUAGCCAGGGAAAAAUAGGUGACAAAAAAAUGCAGAAAGAGGAAAACCUGUCUAGCAGUGUCUGCACUGGAAAAGUCCUUCCACAAGUCCUGCGUUAAGUAACAAGUAUAAAUUAAACUUCUUGCUAAAAGUUUCAGAAUGUGGGAAAGAAAAACAAACGACAUAACAUAUUCAUAAUAAUACAAACUCAACUACGUUCCGAAUUUCAAAUGCUUAGAUGAAAGAGUAAGUAAGAAUAAAGAGCUCGGAAAUGAUUAAUAAAAACCGGAUGGUUGUAAUAGUUCCAAGCAAGGCAUUUCGUUAAAGUAACAUACUAAGGUUCAGGAUAUAAUCAGAAAUUGAUAUCGUUUCCCCUGCAGAAAUUUCUAAAGAACCUAUCGUUUCAAUAAUUAACAAAGAAAAAUGCAUGCCUCCUUCAGAAGCUGACAAGUAAACUAAGAAAAGAAAGAAAAGCCAACAGAAAACGUUCUACAAAAGAUCCAGCGAUGCAAGCUUUAAGUUUUCACGAAAAAAUGAAAAAUGCAUACCUCAACUUUUGAAAGCUUGCCUUCAUCCAGAACUUUAAACAGGGCAAACCCCGCAGGAGUUUCAAACAACACAAGCAUUUUUUUUCUGCUCCAACAAAACCUGCAAAAAAAAAAACACCAAGCGUGAGUUUAAUGAACAAGCAAAGGUCAAAAAAGAAGAAGCUCGGAACACUUGUUAACAUUGACACGAACGAAAUAAACGCUUUCUCUUUGCUGGAAGAGUUACACUAAAACGAUGAUCACCAUAACAAGCACUAGUGACAAGUAAACAAAGUUAACAACUCCACAAAAAUCCAGGAGCAUAAACGUUAGUGUUCCGGCAUGAGACGAAAAGAAAGAAAAAUGGAAGAAGAGGAAAACCUGGAAUAAGAUUUCGAUCCUCCCAAGAGGGUUUUAGAGCAUAAACCCUAAGCUAGGGUUGAAGAGAGAGGAUACACGUCGAAGAAGAAGAGGCGGCAGCCAAACUAUUUUGGGUUUAGGCAUGAAUCGUAUAUAACGGGGAAGAAUGCUAUUAUUAAUGGGCCCUAAUUAUUGUCAUAACGGCCCAAAUUUUACUUCACUUAUCAAUCGGGCUGACCCAAUAGCAUUGCGCCUCCAGUAAAAUGAAUUAUUUGAAUUAUAUAUAUAUAUAUAUAUAUAUAUAUAUAUAUAUAUAUAUAUAUAUAUAUGUGUGUGUGUGUGUGUCUGUUAAAGAUGUGAACAAUUCAAUAAUGUUUGACUGCUAUUUUUAAAAAUUUGGAAAUAAAAUUAUAUCUUGAAAAAUAAAUAUAUGUAUUCAAUUUAAAUAAAAAAUUAAAAUAGAAAAUAUUUCAAUUAUUUUAUUUAAAUAAAAUGUUUCAAAACAAUAAUCAACUGCAAGUCCUGAAUAGGAUUAGGUGGAGUCAAAUUCUAAGUCCAUGAAACAUUAUUUCAUUAAAUGAUAAAUAUAUUUAAAAAUAAUAAUAAUAAUAGUUUAUUAAAACACGUGUGUUUAUUAUAAUUUAUAUAUUAAAUUACAAUAUUUAAAAUUAAAAUUAGUGUUAUUAUUGAAAUUUAACAAGGUGUGAUACUUUAUAUUUUGUGUAUUAACAAAUAUUUUCAAGGGUUAAAUAUGUUUUUCGUCCCCCAAUUACUGGCCGUUUUUGUGUUUAGUCCCUCUUUCGUACAAUUUAGUCCUUCAACUUUAGAAAACUCUGGUAUUAGUCGUUUUUACCAAAUUUUUUUAACUUUAUUUGCUGUUUCCAACGCGUUUCUCAGUUAACAUUGAAGCAUAAAUGUGUCAAAAUGUGUAAACAAUCCAAAUGCUAUAAUGUAACGUGCUUGAAACAGCAAAUAAAAGUUUAAAAAAUUUGGUAAAAACGACUAAAACCAUAGUUUUCUAAAGUUGAAGGACUAAAUUGUACGAAAGAGGAACUAAACACAAAAAUGACCAAUAAUUGGGGGACGAAAAACAUAUUUAACCCUAUUUUCAAUUAGUUCUCUCUUCUGUAAAUUAAUAUUAAUGUUAGAAGAUAAGGGAAAAAAUAAUAAUGAAAAGGGAUUUUUCUCCCCUCCAUUUACCUUUGUUCGUUUUUCAUCAAACAAAAUAAUAUUCAAAAUAUAGUUUUUUCAUCCAGUUCAUUAUCCUUUAACCAAACAUUAGUUACUAUAAAACAUUAAAUUUUUCAUAUAUGAUGAUUUGUAAUUAAAAAAAAACACAGAAAAAAUCUUUUCUUGUUAUCGAUAUUAUAUAUUCUCUCUUUCCAAUAUAGUUUUAGUAUACAUUAUAGUAUAGGUUUUGUUUUUUUAGGAUAAUUAUUUGUGAUAGAGUAAAUUGGAAUGAUAUGUUCUUGGGAUUUUAAAAAUCAUGGGAGAGAUGUGAGAUUCUAUCUCUCAUAAAGUUGCAUGAUAUGAUGAGAUAAAAAAAAUGUAAUUAUAAAAUUAUCCUUAAUUAUUUUUAAAAAUUUACAACAUUUAUUUAUAAUAAUUAAUAAUUAUAAUAACAAAAAUAAAGAUAAAAAAUGUUUAAUUAAGAUUAGCUUUAACCAAUCAUAUUUUAUUUUAAAUUAAUUACAUCUAUUAAUUUUUUUACAAAAAAUCAUCUGAGUUCUAUUUUAAAUUAAUUUUAACCAAUUAUGUUUCAUUUUUUAUUAAUUUUAAUUACAAUGAGAAUUAUAUAAUUUUAUCACUUAAUUUAUUAAAAAAUUAUUUAUUUCGUAUCCAUUAAAUAAUUAAGAAAUUUUUAUAAAUUUUAUCUUUAAAUUUCUCUAUUUUCAAUCUUAAGACUCUUAAAAGAUACCACAUCAGUUUAUCUUUCAUUUUUCUCAAAUUCAUCCAUAUACACUCCCUUUUAAAUUUGAAAAGAGUCUUGAUUAUUUUUUUUUUCUUCUACCCUCUUUAUUUUUCCAUUGAGACGUUCUCCUUCAUUUUUCAACUUCACUCGUCAGUUUUUUUUUUUUUUUUUCAUUAGUUUCUUUUAUUAUUUUUAUGUUAAUUUGGCAGAGACUAAUUUUCAUAUUAUAUAACUAGUACUUCUAUAUGAUAACAUAUAUUAUAAAAUUACAUUUAAUUAGUUGAUAAAAAUAUGUAUUAUGAGCUAUAGAGUUGGUUUAGGAUUGAAAAGAAAGUAUGAAAAAGAUUAUGAGAUCAACUUUCCCAAAACUAAAUAUUAACAUUUAUCGAUAAAGAAUAACAAAAAUGCAUACUAAAAAAAUAUUGUCCUAAGGCCUUGGUUAUAGGUUAAAUCAAAAUUUAUAUUUUAACAUCAACUAAAACCUUUUAAAAACGAUGAUAUUUUUAUAAAUAUUUACACAAUAUAUGCAAAAGUUUUUUAAAAGUGAAGCAUAAUCUCAAAACUUAUUUUUAGACUAAGGAUACUUUUUACUUUAAAUAACGAAUAACUUUUUAUUUUUUUUAGGUUGAAGUUAAAGCAGUAGUCAUAAUCAGUUUUUGUUAUAGAAUAAAUGUUGAUUACAUUUAAAAAAAAAAAAAAAACCCUCUGGAUAGUUUUCUAUAAAUAAAAAUAUGUUAUUUUUACUAUACUUAUAAUCUAUUAUAACUCUAUAUUAAUCAUAAUUUAAUUUUCUAUCAGUAUAAGGUCACCUUAGAAUUUAAAUGAUAUAUAAUAUUUCUAUAUAUAGUAUUAUAUUAAUAUCUGUAUUGUAAAAGUCACCAUAAUUUAUAUUUAUGUUUGACUUUUAAUGAAUUGUUUUCAAGUUUUUAAUGAUUAUUGUAUUACUUUCUAUAAUUAAAAUCAAUAAAAAAUAUUGAUAACAUAUAGUUGAUUUUUUUUUUUUAUGUUGGUUGGAAAGAUAUUGUAUAAAUGUGAUAUGAGAAUUAUUAUGUAUGGAUAUAUAACAUAAAUGAGAAGGAGAUAAUGGUGUUUUAUUGGUGAUGAUUAUCUUACUUUAAGAUUAUGAUAGAAAAGCAUGGUUAACUUUUAUACUGUAUGAAUGUUGUUAAUUGUAAAAAUAAUUAUCAUAUUUUACAGUGUCAUGGUAUGCGUAGAGAGAAAGUCUCAAUUAGAAAGACAUUACAUUUAUUAAACUUGCACACUCAUACAUAAAAGAAUAAAAGAAGUUUGGAUAAGAAAAGUUAAAGGAAACAUAACUAUGAUGAUGUUAUAUGAAUAUCAAAUCGUAAGGAACUAAAAUAAUUUAUUAUCACCAAGAACCAAAAUCAUAUUAUAUAUAUAUAUAUAUAUAUAUAUAUAUAUAUAUAAUAAUAAUAAUAAUAAUAAUAUAAAAAUAAUUAAAUACUCAUAUGAUUACAUAAUAUUCUUCUAUAUUUUAAUUUAAUGAUUUUAUAAUUAGAUGUAUAAAUUUUCUAGCCAUAUUAUUAUUUUUAUUUAUCUUGAACAAAAAAAAAGUUGAAGUGAAAAUUAACUUUUUAUUUCUGAAAAUAAACAUUGUUAUAUUUUGUUGAUUAUUAAAUCAAAACAAAAUACGACAAAUGUUAGAAAUGAUAAAAUUGUGUAUAACAAUUUUUUUUUUUGUAAAAUUUGUGUUAAUUUUUUAUUUUGUAUUCUCGAAAGCAUUAGUGAAAUAUUAAUUAUUUCUUUAGUUUUGCUUAUUAAAAUUAAAAAAAAAAUACAACAACAAAAAACAAAAACAGAAACAAAAAGAGAGAGGAAGCAUUUAAAACUUGGCCUAAGAGAAAAACAAAGUGAAAUAACAACAAAAAUGGAUCACUUGAUCUUCAAUUCAAAAGUGAGAGAGUUCAAACUGCAGCAUGCUGUGUUCAAGCUCCAGCUAAUAGCAUCUUCCUUAUCUGCAAGAACACCAAUCAAUAAUAACAAUAGAUAAAUACGAGAAAGGACACAUUUAAUACAAAUACAAUUUUUUAUAUUCAUUUCACAUUAUUUUUUUUUUAUUUUUUUCUCAAAAAAAAUACAAAAGUUCAGUCAUUUAAUGUAAAAGUUAAAAUUUUAAUUGAAAAAAAAACGAAACAAAUAGUAAACAGGAGAUUAACAAGAACAUGCCUCGGGCAGUUUCUGUCGAAAAAUAACAUCCAACCGUGCAUCGAGGGUGUUUUCCAGCACAAUCUUCCCAUCCUCUGAGGCCAACACUAUUCCUCCAGAGCUUUAUUGAAACAUUUGAGAACACUCAUGAGUUAGGUUUAACAUAAUACUAAAAUUAUAUAAUUAGAGUUUGAUGAUUGUGUUCAUGAAAAAAAGUGCACAUAUAGUGUUUGUUAUAAUGAAAGAUAGGUAAAAACUAAGAAAAGAAGAUACCAAAAGGGUUCAUGGGAAUCCGUUGCAGCAUUUUUCUUAGGUGGUGGUGGGAGAUAAACACGAUCAUCAAGGGUAAUUUUAGGGGCUUGCACGUUUGCUUUCUCUGAAUAUUCUUUUUUGGCUUCCUCUAUCAAGGACUCAACUAGCUUACGAUCACUCUCUCUGCAUCUUAUCAGCACAGAUGGUUCCCUCAAGCGUAGUAAACCCUACAACAUAUACAACAUGAUAAGAUUUUGUGUUUUGUGCAAAAAACUAAAUACGAUAACUACAUGACUGUGCUUCAAAUACCUGAAUAAUCAUGUCUCUGACGAGUUUUUUGUAUACUUUCUUGUCAUUUGAGAGACCCGAAAGACCUGUUCUAGCAGCGUCCUUCAUGGAAUUCACUGCAUCAUCCUGUGCUUGAAGCACUUUUAUUCGGGAUGCAUUCAAUUGUGUUGAGUAUUCACUAUUCAUGAAAUGAACAAGUUUUGUGAACAUUUUAAAAAUUUGUACGUGAAAUCGUUGACAAUUUGUGAUCAAAGAGUAUGAAAACGAACGAAAUGCAAGAGCUUACAUUUUUCUACGAACGUCAAUUUGUUUGGCUUUUCGUUCAUACUCUUGCUUGAUUUUUUUCUUUUCAGCUUCAAGUAUUUCCAGCUUCUCAAUAUUGAAUUCCUGCAACGAAUCAAAACAAUGUAACAAAUCAAAAUCCCCGAAGAUAACAAUAAUAAUAAUAAUAUCAAGAAAACACUAAUAUUUUCAAAAGUAAAGAUCUAGAUGCAAACCAUUCAAUAAAACAUCAAAGCAACAUAAAAUUUUCAAAUUUAAAAAACAAAAAAUAAAAUGUCCAUACUUCUUCAGCAGCAACAGAUAUUUCAUUCGCUUUCUCCUCAGCUUCUUGGCGGAUGAACCUGAUCAUCUGCUGGAUCUGCCUUGAAACAUCUGCGUCCUUCAUCUUUGUUUUCAAAUUCAAAACCUGGGAAGAUGUAAUAAACUUUUUGAUGAUUUUUCAAACAAAAGAAUAGAAAUGAAAGGAAAAUGUAACUAUGUUUUAGUUUAAUGUUUGUGUUAUAAUAAGUAAGUAGUGAGAAGUUUAAAAGGAGAGGAGAAAACAUACAAAGCUGAUAAUACCAUUAGAGCAUUUAUUUCGGUCUGUUGAGGAAUUGGAUCUUGAACAAAUUUAUCCUAUCUUUGGAAAUUUGAACAAGCAAAACAAGGACAAACAAGAUUAAAGAGAACAAAAGGUAAUUAAAUAAAAAUAAAAUAAAAAAUCCACCGAUUAUAUAUAUCCUUACGACAUUUUUUUUUUCACAAAAAAAAAAAAUCAGCAAUUUUGACAUUUUGUGGAAAAACCUUUAACAAUUUUACAUGGUCAAUUUUAAUUACUUGACAAUAUUGUACUUCUAAAGUUAACAUAGUUAUAUAUUUGUUUGACAACUGAUGAUAAGGAAUGAAAUUAAAAAAAAAAAUACAUACAUGGAGACUAAACUGCAAAUUUACUACAUAUAAAAACUAUACGCGUAAUUAAAUCAUGGGUUAAAUAUGUUUUUAGUCCCUGUACUUUAGAGCGAUUUUGGAUUUAGUCCCUCUUUCAAACUAUGGUACAAUUUAGUCCUUCAACUUUAGAAAACUCUGGUUUUAGUCCUUUUUACCAAAUUUUUUUAACUUUAUUUGCUGUUUCAAACGCGUUUCUCAAUUAACAUUGAAGCAUAAAUGUGUCAAAUAGUGUAAACAAUCCAAAUGCUAUAAUGAAAUCUGUUUAAAACAACAAAUAAAGUUAAAAAAAAUUGGUAAAAAUGACUAAAACCAGAGUUUUCUAAAGUUGAAGGACUAAAUUGUACCAUAAUUUGAAAGAGGGACUAAACUCAAAAUCGCCCCAAAGUAUAGGGACUAAAAACAUAUUUAACCCUUAAAUCAUUUAAUCUCACACAAUAGCAUAUUGCUUGAAAACACUCUCAUGGCCUCUUAAAAAACAGAGUAUUGAAAUAUAAUUAAAAGUGACGAUUUAAAGUAUACUAUAAAAAUUAAAGCAUAAAAAGUAAUAUAUAAAUAUUAAAACGAAAAUCUGUCAAUAAAAAUAUCAAAUUACUAAGUACUUUUUAUAUCCAGUGGUCUUUUAUUUUUAAGUGUUUUUUAAUUAUGUGUGUUUUUUAAAAUACCUACCAAAAUGAUCACUAUGCAAAAAAUAUUAAGUAAUAGACUUAAUAUACCGACUUGUACCACAAUUAUUUAGUUCAUUUCAAUUGGGUCUCUAGCGUUUUUAAAAAAUGUAAUUAUCAUUAUUAUUAUUAUUUUGUAGAACAUAUAUAUUAGUUUGAUUUCUCGUGUGAAAUUGACCAUGACCCUAGUUGCAUAUAUGGUAGUUAAGAUGGAUAUGUGGCAAAUUGAAUCUGUAUAUAAGUUCAUUUUCUUACACCCCUCCUUUGUAUGAGCACACUCUUUUCUCGACAGAAAAAGGAACUAAAAGAGACAAAAAAAAAAAGUGAAAUAAAAUUAUAACAAUGACUAUAUUUUAUAAUUCACAAAUUUUGUUUACUUUAUUUAAUUACGUUACCAGUUAAAUAGUCCCAUGAAAAAUUUAAUUGCAGUUUUAUUUAGUUUAAAUUAAAUAUAAAAUAUAACCAAAACAAAUGUUUUAGUUUAAAUGAUUUUUUAUGAUUUUAUUAUUAUAAAUUCUUAAACAAUCUACACCUCUAUAUCACUAAUAAAGUCACUUUCUCGUGUAAACAUUUUUUAUUGUCCUUGUUAACUACUAUUUAAAUGUUAAAAAAUAUUUAAAAAAAAAACAGCAUUUCUCAUUUUUAUCUUUUUAAUAACUAUUUUUUAAUUCAAAUAAUAAAAAAAAUGCAAACACACGUGUGAGAAUGACAAUAGUGUCCAUGAGUAUCCAUGGAUAAAAUCCAUAAUGGAUAAUUGGUAUUCAUAUGUAUUUAUUUAUUACCCGUGAAUAUACCUACUUAUAAAUGGGUUGAGUGCAACUUUAUAUUAUCGGUAUCUAUGGAUAUUUGUUACCUCCAAAAAUAUAAGAAUAAAAAUUUAAUUUAUAUUAUAUUUUAUAUGAUUUUAUUUAAAUUUUAAUUAAAAUAUUUAUAAAAAUAUAAUUUUAAAUCUAUGUGGUUACUUUUGAAUACCCGCGGGUUUUAAAAUUUCCACAUAUAUUUUUUUAACAAAUAUUUAUGCGAGUAGUGGAUGAAAUUUUUUUUUCCAUAUUAGAUAGCGGGUAGACACUAUUCAUGUCCAACUCGACCUAUCUGUUAUUCAACUUGACAUGUUGUCAUCCGUACAUGCAUGUAACACGUGUAUUUUAAAACUUUUUUUUUUAAAGAAAAAAGCCAAAACAAAUAGUCUCUUUUUUCCACACCCUUCAAACUCUUUCUCUUUGUUUUUGUUUAACUAGAAGUUCCUCCACGUAAUUUCAUCUUAUCUUUCCUCCUUUUCUCCUUUGCUAGGUUUCUAACACAACCAAAAGACGAUAGCUUCUCAACUCCAUUUGUCUCAGAUCAACCAUAGGGUAAGUGAAUGUUUGUGUCUCAUUUUCUUUUUCAUUUACCCACCUUUGGGUCACAUUUAUCUUUUUGAGGUGCCAUUAGAAAGUCUAUUAGGAAUCUCCUCCUAUUUGUGGCUCAAAACCUUUAUAGCAUUGAGUUUAGUUUUUUUCAUGGUUCUAGAUGUAUUUUGAAGCUUGAGAGUCUUAGAGCAUCUUAGGAAGGAUGAAUUAUGUCUAACUCAACAAGGUGGGGGAGCUAAUUAAACUUCUACAUGUUGUGAAAUUUUUAUCCUAAUUACUUGGUUGCCUUUUCUUAAGAUGGUAGUAUAAUUAUGAAAAUUUAGCUAUUUAGCUUGUUUAGAGUUUCAUUGUUUUUGCUUGUUGAAUCUGUCUCUGUAUUUGUAUUAAACGUGUUUUGUGAAUUUUUUUAGAAAAUCAAAUGUGCUUGAAUCGUGAUUUAAUAACACGAUUGGAUUGGAGGUUUUACUUAAGUAAUUGGAGCAACGUAAAACAUAUUUUUAAAUGAAUCGAGUUAAAAAAAGGAAAAAAAAAUAAUAAUUUGAUUAAUUGAUAAGUUAAUACUCUACAUUGUUUACAUAUGUUAUCACGCGAAAUCUUAAAUUUCAAAGCCAGUAUAAUUAAAGUAUAAAAUAAAAUUUAUUUAAAAUUUAUGUAAAUAAUACAUAUUCAUAUAUAAAAUCAAAUAUUAUCAUUAUAUUCAUAUCUAAAUAACACACCAUAAAGUAUUAUAAAAAAAUUAACUAGUUUCCUUAUUAGCGAAACUUGUUUGCUGAAAUUUAAGUUCCUCACUAUAUUAUUCUUGAAAACCAGUAAAUAAAAAACUUAUAUCAAUAAUUUAAACAUACUUUUAUGUUCAUAAAACAAUAAAAAAUCACUUUAUCAUAAAAAGAACACAUGCAAAAUCUUUAAUAUCUAUGUCGGCAAAAUUUCUCAAAAUCAACUUAAUGAAAAAGACAAUUAAGAAACCUAUUUUGAGAUCAAUUGUGAUAAAACAAACUUACUUUGUUAUAUCUAUCACAAGCUAUAAGACGAUACAAAUUUUUCAAAAAUAUAAAAAGAAGAUAGAAGAAAUAGAGAGAAUAUAUUUUAAAGAUAUGGUGAUUUUUCUAGAAUAAAAUUUAGAUGAUUAGUUUUUUUUUUCCUGUUUACAAACCUAUACUUCAAAAAUAAAAUAUUGAUAUUUUAUCUCAACUAGAUUAGUUUUAGUCUUAAACAAUUAAAUAGAAAAUUCAUUACACAAUUUGUUCCAGAAAAAUUAGAUUUAAAAAUUAGAAGAAAUUAGAAUUUUGACCUUUCUAAGAAUUAAUUCGCGACUAUCUUAUUUUGCGUCGGAAAGAUUUUAAAUGUUGUUGUCAAUUAUUAUUUUAUGCUUUUUCUUAUGCAAUUAACGAGAUCGUGAUGAUAAUUUGAUGAAAGAGAUAAUUAUUGAUAUUUUUUUUAAUGAAUAGAGGAGUCAUAAUUUUUUAUUUUUUCUUUUUUUAUCAGUAAAAAAAAUUGAACUCACAUAUUUUCACUAGUUUAAACAAAUUUGUGACCAACUUCACUAAUAAUUCAAUUUUGAAAAGUAAAUAAAAUUUGUUAAAAAGCGGAAACCAUUCUCCUACACGAGAGAGAAGCGAGCGAAAAGAUGAAUUUACGAAAUCUAUAAAUUCCUGAACCGAGCUAAAUGGAAAAUGUUUAUAUCGAUUUGGUUCUGUUUCAUUUCCGAUCAUAACUAUAAGCUUUGCUGCCAGUUUCCGUGAUCAGUGUCAGUUGCACCGUGCUCAUAGAUCCAGCGCCAGCAGGUAACAUUGUUCUUAUUUCUUGCACAUUUCGUUUUUUCCUAAUGAUUUGGUCUCGCUUUAGUUUUCGUGAGCGAUAAUUUAUUCCUUUUGUGUUUUGGUUCGUUAAAAGAGAUCCAUCUGCACUUAAUCUUCUAUCAUUUUGGCUCUAAUUAUGCGUGUUUGGGAAUGUAGCCAUUGUGAUAGGAUCAGGACGCCUGUAUAUGCUGCAUGAGAUUUGAGUCGCUGUUGAUUAGAUUUAGACUCCGCCGAAUGGAAUGUCUUAUAUCGCUGUGUUUGGUUGCGUAGCUUUAGAUUGGACGGAGUGAAUUCUAAAUGCCGUGAAAACGAGCGAUUUCUUUUUACGUGGUUCUGUUUUUAGAUACUUUAUUGGGAUGAUAAACAAUGAAUUCUCAAGGCGGUCUUCCAAGGGUGUGUGAUGUGAAUUACGUUAGUGUACUAUAAGAAAGAACUAUGGUGCAAACUUCUCAAUAAGUUAUAAACUUACACAAAGCCAACUCGUGGAGAAUAUGAUAAGAUAUCUUCUGCAAAUCAACUUCUAUGGAAGUUAGUUUAACUUUUUGGAAAAACUGAUUUUAUCUUUCUUCCUACAAUGCACGACUUGCACCUGUGCAAUAGCUGCCAUUUUAUGAAUGAGUUUACUGUUGAACUUUUGAAAUCACAGCAUUUGUUGUUGAUAUUUUUCACUUAAUAGACUUGAACCUUGAUCCUUUACACUGUUUCCUUUUUUUGUCAAGUGUCACUGUGUCUAGGUUCUGGUAUUGGAGAAUAUAUAUAUAGGUGGAUUUAAUUUUUAAAUAAUUUGUUGAGUUGAUUGCUUUUCAUUUUUUGGUUAAUAACUUAAUGUGCCUGAUUUCAAAAGUCCAAAGAUAUGCAAGGGUUGAUUCUAGGCCUGUGGGAAUUUUGGCCUUCACAGGCUUUUUGAUUUUGCAAGCUUUCUCAACAAUGACCGGAUAAAGCCAGGGGGUGUGCAUAUUGACUACUAUACUUGUAUAUUUGACAUCAGGAUCUGGCGGUUGGCGGCUGCUAACAACAUCAUGGAUUUAUUUUGCAGAUUCAAUUUGACACAGGAAGCACUCCCUCAUCUCAAAGAUCAAGUGAAAAGAUGGUAACAAUUUUUCUUCUUACAGUCCCCUGGUUAAAUAUUGAAGGACUUGCUUGAUUUGCUUGACUAUUUAACAUUAAUUAUUUGGUUUCUCUUCCACUAAAUUCUUUGAAUUGUCAUUUCUGUUACUUCUUAUAAUAUAUUUUCUUUGUAGCUACUCCAAUUUGUAUUACAUCUAGUUUUAAACCAGGAUCUCGAACUACAGCCCGAAGGAGCCUUCUAAUAUAUAUUUUUUUCAGCUUUGAAAUUGAAAUCCUGUAUAAAUAUUUCCUCUGCAUCCUCUGGUAACAUUCAAGUUUGAAUUUGCUUCAAGAUCACUCGUAAUUUUGGAUCUUCUAUGUAUGUUGUUUUUUCUUCUUUUCAUCUCAAUUCUAGCUACGUUGUUUUGAAUGGUUAAUUUAAUCCUAAAUUAAUGUUGGCCUUGACUGUCUGAUCAAUUUGCGUGUCAAAGGUCAACUGGGUGUUACUAAAAUGCGGGGUUGGGACUAGAUUUAGACAGGUCACAUGUUCACUCGCUUCUGUAACUGAAAGAAGUACUAUUUUUUGACUAAGGAAAAAUAAUUCAUAUGGAGAGAAAUGGUAUUCUCUCUUUCUAUCUAUUAUUGACUUUCUUUAUGAUCAAUUAAAAUUUUGUUUUACUUGUUGAUCAGGUUGUCCUCGCUGCAUCCAUUGUGAGCAAAUCCGGAAAAGGUGAGUUUUCCGCAGCUUUCUACUCAAGUCCCUGAACUUUACCUUUGAAAGAAUAGUUGGCUUCUUCCUUUUUAGUAAUCUGAACCUGAAAAACAGGCUAUAUGGUCUUAGGAAUUAAAAAACAUAUAUAUUAGUCUGAUAUAUGGUUUUAGGAACUAAAAAACAUAUACAUUAGUUUGAUAUGUGGGAAUCUACUCUCAAUACCAUAUCUUUUGAUUUGGUUUGUGUUUCCUGAUGUUGAGAUAACCAAGAAACUAAUAUAUGUUGUGCACUCCUAUUAUUAAAUUUGGUACACGAAAUCUACAAUUUUUAGUCUAUUUUUCUUGCAUCUGUAAUCUAUCUUCCCGUUACUCUCCGUCAGCAACAUAAGUGGAGUUACGAAAUCCUUUUCUACUUAAUAACUCAAUAUGUUAAGUUGUGCAUGUUACUCAAAUAUUAUAUCUUAUCAAUUGGUCCAUUAUUUAUUUUUGUCAAAUUCACGAUUAUUUUUUAGUUUGUUCUGCAAAGCUUAAUUUGCAUCGCUUAUAAUAUUGAAUUUGGUGGUACCUAAACAGAAUGGAUUCAACAUCUAUGCUCUUUUUUACCAACGCACCAUUUUGUGUUGUUUGCAGUGCUAGUUUCUAGACAGUUUGUGGACAUGUCUCGUAUCAGAAUUGAGGGUCUUCUAGCAGCAUUUCCCAAGUUGGUAGGCACCGGAAAGCAGCACACAUUUUUUGAGACGGAGAAUGUACGCUAUGUUUACCAGCCAAUAGAAGCACUCCAUCUACUUAUUAUAACAAACAAAAGUAGCAACAUACUGGAAGAUUUGGCAACUCUGAGACUCCUCUCCAGACUUGUAUCCUUUUCUUAUGCUUUAUGUUUAAUGUAUUAUGCCAUUAGCUCAAUUUCCUUUCAAUUCCUUGGUUUUGUCUUGAACUUGGUGAGAUUCAUUGCCCUGAAUUUAGAAUUUGUUUUGUGUCUUGUCUACUCAUUUUGGUUUUCUUUUAGGGUUUUAAAGGUACAAUCAAUCAAUGUUGGAUUUUCUUAAACAUGGCAUUUGGUAUGUUAAUUUUUAUAGGAAGGUUCAGGAUGGUUUAGGAUUGAUCAAUUGGUUAGUACUGCAAGUUUAGGAUCUUCUUAAACUUUAUCGGUCAGAUUUAGAGUCAUUUAAUAUCUAUAUAUAUUUUUUUCCAACAUGUUGUGCUUACAGUUAUAAGGCUUAAUCACGUUUCAAAUCCUUCAACAAAUUGAGUAUUUUUUAUUCAGUUCCUAUUUUUAUUUAUUUAUUGAGUACUCGAUUAAAUUUUUAAUUUUUCAUUAACUAGGUGAUAUAACUAUUAUUUUGUCCUGUCAUCUUGCUUACUUAUCUUCACCUGUUAAGAAAACAUGUUGAAUAAUGACAUCGUCAUGUUCUUCAAUGUCUUACUUGUCAUCCCCUAUAUUGACCAAGAGGGUAUUGUCAUUACCACUAUUGAUGUAGGUGUCGAUGGUCCGUUGUUAUCCAACAGUUUUUCAAUGAAAGCAAUAAAAAUUACUUGUUUUUUUAAAUUAACUGCAAUAUCGUUUUAUAUUAACUAUAAGAUCUCACAUUUCUUAACACGUGAAAGCAGCCACGUUAUCCUCUUAAAUAGAGACUCUACUAAAAGUAUCCAAAUUUAUUAGACUUAAAAGUUCAUCAAGCAUAGUUAUAAUUAGUUCAUUCCUUAAUACUUUUUUAGGUGCCUGAAUAUUCUUACUCCCUCGAUGAAGAGGGUAUUUGCGAACAUGCAUUUGAGUUGAUUUUUGCAUUUGAUGAAGUCAUCUCUCUUGGGCACAAGGAAAAUGUGACUGUUGCACAAGUUAAGAACUACUGUGAGAUGGAGAGUCAUGAAGAGAAACUACACAAACUUGUUAUGCAGAGCAAAAUCAAUGAAACUAAGGAUGUUAUGAAGCGGAAAGCUAGUGAGAUUGAUAAAAGCAAGGUAUGCUUGGAUGGACUAUAUUACAUUGUUUUAUAUUCUAGGAGUGACAUUAUUUGUUCAAAUUAAUGUAUGUUUUCUGCAGGUUGAAAAGAACAAAGGGGAUAAAGGGGGAUUUGGUCCCUUACAGUCACUAGGCUCUGGAAAAAUUGAAAAUAGCCUUAGUGAUUUGAGCAUAUCUAGCAGCGGAACUGCUUUUGGAAGUGGCUCUGGUCUCGGAUUUGGUUCUGAUGUUGAUUCCUUUCCUACCAAGUCUAAAGGUUUGGUCUUCAUGAAUUUUCAUGAAAUAUUCUAGAAUGCUUCUAACUGUAAUAAUGACUGGAAAGGCCAUCGCAACAUGUUGUAUCCUGGCUGUGGCUUAUUCUAUAUCCAAAUUAAGAUGUUCAUCUAUGUACUUGUGUAUUAUUCCCAUCCUUAGGUCGUCCUACAUCAUCUGCUACUGCUCCACCAAAAGGUCUUGGAAUGAAGCUUGGUAAAUCCCAAAAGGCAAAUCAGUUCUUGGAAUCAUUGAAAGCAGAAGGUGAGGUCUUUCUUGAAGAAGUUCAGCCAAAACUUGGCCUGUCUCAGGCAGCUGCCCCACCACCUACGGAUCCCAUCACUUUAACUGUUGAAGAGAAACUAAAUGCGACACUAAAACGAGACGGUGGAAUCGGUAAUUUUGAUGUUCAAGGCACAAUGUCCCUCCAAAUUCUCAGCAAAGAGGAUGGACAUAUUCAAGUUCAGGUAUCGCAUUCUCACUAUCUCUUUCUACCUCGACGUGUCUCCAGUGAGCUUCUGGUUUUCAUAACUUUUGGUGUGCCUUAGUAACUUGAAAGAUCUUUUCGUGAACAACCAUUAACUAAUACAGUUGGAUUACAAUAUAUCAGUCUUAGUCUUCUUGCAUGUAAAAAACUAACAGUUAUGAAUGAAGCAUGAUGUCAUCAUGACAACUAGGACAAAAAUAAAAGGAAGAAAAAAAGGAAGGUGGAUCAGAUAUAUUCAGAUACGCACAAAGGACGAAAUAAUGUGGAAGAUACUGGCGGUUAAAAUUCCUGCAGGAUGAUAUUAGUGCUGCUUCCGUAGAUUGAUUAAUAUGAAGUAUUUUGGUGCUUUCGAUAUGUCAAAUAUUGUUAGGGUUUAACUGAAAACAAUUUUCGUCAGCAUGUAUUGUUAGGGUUUCUUGCUUGAGACGGUUUUUAAUUCAAAAAUCAAUUCUAGAGGAAAAUUAAAAUUAUGAGCACUUGUGUACUAUGCCAUGUUUUUACAGGUCCAGACUGGUGAGAAUCAAGCCAUCAUUUUCAAGACACACCCCAACAUGAAUAAAGAAUUAUUUGCCAAUGAAAAUAUACUAGGCCUAAAGGAUCCCAAUAGACCUUUCCCCACUGGUCAAACUGGUGGUUCUGAAGGUGUCGGUCUCUUAAAGUGGAGAAUGCAAAGCACUGAUGAAUCAAUGGUACCGCUGACAAGUGGGUUUACAACUGCUGUUCAUAUGGUCCACUAUUUUGUAUUUGUAUUACCGCAUUAAUAACUUACGAUGCCUGUUGCAGUCAACUGCUGGCCUACUACUUCUGGAAACAAUACUUCUGUCAGCAUCGAGUAUGAGGCUUCUUCAAUGUUUGAUUUGCAGAAUGUUUUGAUUUCAGUACCUCUUCCAUCUAUUCGGGAAGCACCAUCUGUUAAUCAGAUUGAUGGGGAAUGGAGGUGUGGGAUUUCUUUCUUUACUUUUUUCCCUCUGAAUAAAUGUUAGGGCCAAGUUUUUUGUGGUUUGCAUUGGACAUUGCUGCAAAUGAGCCGGUUUAUAUUAAAAUCGAUAUGUAUUAUUAUGUUAACGGCCGGCAAUCUUUGAAAUGCUGACCGUAUUUGGAUGAAUUAGAAAGGUUCACAGCAUCAACUCUGCUCCCCUCCCCUCCCCUCCCAAGAUCACCCAUCAGUCGAUGACUUAGCAUACAUAUUAUUUAUGUUGUGAAAUUAUUUUAUUUUACUGUUUCUUUCUUUCUCUCUUAUAAUCCCCUAUAAAAUUGGUUUCAUAGGUAUGACUCCAGGAAUUCCCUUUUAGAGUGGUCUAUCCUUCUGAUUGAUAAUUCAAACCGCAGGUAUGUUAAAUCUUGGAUGAUCUUUUUAAGAGUUGACGUGCAGUAUUUACCUCUAUGUUAAAAUUUUCAACUUUCUUUGUCUGACAUAAUAUAAUUUCAGUGGGUCAAUGGAAUUUGUUGUUCCGCAAGCUGAUCCAUCAGCAUUCUUCCCCAUUUACAUUCAUUUUAAGGCAACAGAAACAUUUAGCAAACUGAAGGUUUGUAUGUAUUUUCAAAGUUAAAUCCGAAACAUUUAUUUGCUGGGCAAUCUUAUAUCAUUUAAUUCAAUUCAUGUGCCAUCAUCUAAAAUAAUGGAUUAUGAUUGACAUAGAGCUUACACUUACGCAUUCACUUUUCUUUGUAGGUCACCAACACCAUACCGCUAAAGGGUGGUAAUCCUCCUAAAUUUUUUCAGCGGACACAGUUGGUCACAGAAAACUACCUCGUUGAGUGAUUCAUUUUCUCCUUCUCGAGGCUUAGCCAUGACAGGUUGGCUUUUACCAAUGCGAUUCUUUUACCAAAGGGUUUUCCUUUACCACGUUGCAUCAUUUAUUAAAUUCGAGUCAUAAUUUAUUUCACAAGCGCAGUCCAAAGUAAGAAAUUUCACAAUGUGAAACUUAAAAAUCUCUUUUUACUUCUUAGCUUCUAUAUUUUAUACGGUGAGAUGCCAUUCCCAUCUCUCUGUCCUCUGAAUUUGAGAAUGGAAUAAAUAUGUUACAUGUGGGUUAUAGGAUUUAGAGAAAUUAUGUUAUUCUUUUAUAUAAAAAAAAAAAGUCAAGUGAAUAAGUUCAUUUUAAUAUUUGAGGAACUUUAAUCAUUUGAUUUUAUUAUUUUCUAUUACAAGUGUUUUUAGAAUUCUUUAUUUAAAUGGGAUGUAUACGUGAUUUUCAAAGUAGUUAUUAUAGAAACCGGUAAUCUAAACCUAUAUGACAAUUUAUUAUUGGAUGAUAAUGUAUUUUUAUAUUAUUAUUGGAUUUAUAUUAAUUCUUAACUAGGAAUUCACUUAAAUUAAUUGGCUGUUAUUUAUGAGUAAGAAAAAAAAAAGAUUUGUGUUCUCAAAUGUAUAGCUUGACUGUGUUUUCGCAGAGUGAUACUAAUACAACAAUGGACAUCAAAAAAAAGCUUUUCCUCUAAUUUGACACAAUCUUUCACUCUAUUUUUUUUUAAAUAUAAAUAUUUACUUUUUUAAGAUCACCUAUAAUGAGUUAUUAAAUGAAGUUAUUAGUGUCAAAGAUUUUUUUUCCCAUAUAAUAUUAAUUAUUGAAAACUGCAAAGUAAUUAUUAAAAUUCACUAAAUAUUUAUACUACGACUUACAAAUUUGUAAUAUAUCAUAAUUGAAUUUUACGUCAAUAAUAAAAGAAAUUUGAAUAAUAAAAUAUUUUAGAGAAUAUAUUUAGACAUUUCUGUCUUAUACAGACCCAACUCUUGCGUAUUAGAUCUAAAUGAGAGAGACGAAGAGCAGUAUAAAAGUACAAUAGGAAAAUUUAUGCCCUGUCUCAGUGCUGUGCUGUAUAAUCUCUUCAACCAAGCUUGUUUUUAUUAAUGGAUCAAGAAAAAAAGAGGUUAUAAUAGUUGUUGGGGUGCCCUUAGUAAGAAGUGUACUACUUCGACUUAACUAGGCCUACUUUCAAUUUUAGCAGGAGUAAUUGAGGGCAGUUUCUUUCUGCACCUCCGUAACUUUCUUUUUACACUUCUCAUGUAAAAAACUUUCUAUUUUACUUUUUCUUCGGAUUGUAUAAUUUAAAAAAUAUUUUUUUUGUUUUUUAAAUUCUUAAAAUAAAAUUUAUGGAUUACAAAAUUUGAAAAUCCUUCAUUUUAUAUAAUUUAGAAAAUUUUUAGAUCAUAUAAUCUAAAAAUUAUUUUUACUUAUAAGUUAAAUAAUUAAAAAAAUAUCAAAAUAAGAGUUUAUUUGUAUAAAAGUGUAUGAAAAACCUCAUUUGGAGCCCAACCUUUAUUAUAGGAAAAUUUGUUAACUUACUUUAUCACUCACAUUCAACAAACUAAAUAUAAUUAAUUUAUUUGCAAUUAUUGGACUGGUUGAGUAAGAUGUGUAAUCGUGUGAAAUACGAACAGUUACUUUGUUUGUCACACUUACUCUAUUGAAGAUAAGAUUUUGAAUUUAAUUAUUUUUUAAUUUUUUGUAAGUGUACCUUUUCUCCUCAAUCAAAGGUGUGAUUUCUCAAAACCUAUAUCACCUAAUGGACCAACUCAACUUAGCUAUUAUCUUUUCGUUUCCAUCUUUUCAGAAAAUAGAAAAUGCCAGCAAACACAUUUCUUCAUUGAAUAAAAUGCUCAUAAACUAUGAUUAAUAAUAAUAAUAAUAAUAAUAAUAGUAUGUCAAUUGCAUUGUUUUAACGUGAUUUCUAGCAAAAAAAAAAAUUAUGUUGUUAAAUACUGGAUAAUAAGAAAUUUCUGCAGAUAUUUCAAAGAUGAUAACAGUGAGAAUAGUGUCUAUUUUACUAUCCAAUUUGUAACAAAAAAAUCAUAUAUUAUCUAUUUUAUUAUUCAUCAAAUAUUUAUUUAAAAAUAUUUUAAAAUAUUUUAAAAUCUACAGAUAUACGUAGAUAUUUACAAAAAUAUAUAUUUUAUAAAUUUUAAAAUAAAAUAUAAAUAAAAAUACAAAAAUGAUAUAAAAUAUAAUAUAAAUUAAGUUUUAAUUUUAAUCAAAUUUAACUUAAUAAAAUGUAAAUUAAUUUUUUAUAAUAAGUAUUAUAAAUAUAAAUAAUAUAUAUUUAUAUCCGAUCUUUCAACUAAUAUUAAAAUACAUGUUACAACUGUUUAUAAAUAUAUACUAAUUAUUUGUUAUAAAUUUUAUUUAUAAAUUUAUGUGAAUACUAAUAUUUUUGCCACUUGAUGUUAAUAUUGUGUGUGUUUGGUUUCUGUGUCGAGAACAAACAACCUAUUUUGGACACUACAAGUUCCUAGUACCUAGAAGAGACGCUACUACGCUACAAAGUUAUGUAGCCUUUUCUUUUCUAAUUUAACUACCACACAACACAACCUCGUUUUACAUUCAAUCAAUUCGUACGAAAAUAAUAAUAAUAAUAAUUUUAAAGCUUUACCCUCCCUAAGGUUUUCUCUUUCACUGCUACGAAAAGUAUAUUUUACAGCAUAAUAAGAACCUAUUUAACACAAAAAUAAUAUAAUUUAAUUAUUUUUUUUACAAUAUUUUAAUAUUAUUUAUGUAUCGUUACUUAAUUAAUUUGUAUUAGUAUCAAUAUAUAUAAAUAAUAUUAAAAUAUUUCAAAAAAAUAUUAAAAAAAUCAUUAUCUUUAAAACAAAAUACAAUGGUAAUCCUUUAAAUUUGCCGGAGUGUCUUAGAUUGAGUAUUACGUAAUCAUUUAAAAGACUGAAAGGAACGUAAUAUUUAAAUUAAAUCAGCGUAUUAUAUAUAGUUUAUUUAAAAUAUGCUUUUUGCAUUUUUUUUUAUUGAACAUCCACACUUAAUAAACCUUUAUUUAAAAGUUUCUUUUUAUUCUUAUUAAAGUCGUUGUCACUUUUAUUCACACGGAAUAGAUAUGACAAUGAAGUCCAUCAUCUCUUUAAAAUCCUUUCUCAAAACAAAUAUGAAAAUUUUCUCUCUAAAUUAAUUGAAAAAAACAGUGCAAAAAUAUCCUAUUUUUUAUAAUACAUUUAAAAAAAUUAUUCUAAAAUCGAUCUAAGAAAAAUCUAAAAUAAUGAAUUCAAAAUGGAUGUUUUUCUUCAUCUUUUAGAGAAUAUUCUUAAAGCUUAAAGCAUAGUUUGGUUUAGAUUCUUCUAUUCAAUAUUUCCAUAUUUGUAUCCCAUUUUAUUGCGCUCGCUAUGUGCAUCCACUCCAAAAGAAAAACUUUAUAAAAAAUCAACCUCAUCAAAAUGCUUUUAAUUUUGCCUUUUAUCGUUAGUAAGAAAAGUGAAACAUUAUAAUUAAUCCCUAUUAUCUUUAAUGUAAUCCACCUUGUUAAAAGCCAUAAUGAUAUAUAAUUAGGGUAAAGCCGUAAUAAAACAAGGGUGUUUAAAGUUAACUAUAAAUAGUAUAGAAGAAAAAGUGUAAUAUAUUUGUUCUUAAUUUAGAUUAAAGUAUAUCGUGAUUUUAUUAAAAUCACGAUUGUUACUUAGUUCAAAAUCAAACUAACUUAAAAAAUAAAUGUUUUUUAUUUAAUAAGAAUAAUAAUAAUAAUAAGUUUAUAUCGCCAUUCAAAGUGCAUGAUAAGAUAGUUAAAUUUUGCAAUUAUUAUUUUAAAAUUAUAUUUGAUAUGAUUUUUAAAUAGUAAUCAUAUUUUUUCCCUUGAUACUGUAGAAAAUUUCAAUUGUUUCACAAAUAACAAAAAUGUUACUAUAUAUUCUGUUUUAAAAGGUUUAUCCACAAGAAAUUAGUGUCUCUUUUAGUUUUAAUGUUUCCUAAAUCAAUAUCUAAAAACAUAAAAUAAAGUAAACAAAUAAUAACAUCUCAAACAAAACAUGUUAGAAAUCCCACAUCGGCCAAAUUAUAAUAUAUAAAUGAAGUACAAACCACAUCUUACAAGUUUGUUUUGUGGAGUGAGUUAAAUUUAAAACUCACUUUCUAAUAAAACAUAAUCUUACUUUUCAUAGGAAAAAAUGAGAUGUUUUUGGUGUAAUAUUGUACGUGUUUAUGAAUUUGAGAAAUUCAUAAGACUUUAUUGUAAAUUAAAAUUUUAAAAAUCUACAAUGACUUUGAUGAUACCAUAUUCUAUACAUAUGUUACUUGCUAAAUCGGUGUAUAGACUUUAUUAAUUUAUACAAAGAGAAAACGUACAUUAAUUUUACAAUAAUCGAUGCAAAAUUUUCAAAAUAACCAGUAUAAAAAAUUUCUUUACUAUCAGUAAAAAGAAUUCUUAGCUUUCUGUCAUCAAAAUAUGCUUGUAACUUUCUGUAAGGAAAUAAAAUGAUAAAUGUUCUUGUUCAAGUUAAAGUAGGUUUCGAUUUUUUAAAAGAAUGUAUUAGACAGAAAAAUAUUCUAACAAGUCAAUUAGUAUAAUAAAUUGUUAUUUAAUGUAUUUUCUAUAUCUAAAAUGUGAAUUUAUUUAUAAAGUGUUAUUUAUUAUAGUUUUGUUUUUUUUUCUAAUGAAUGUUAUUUUUAUUUUGUUGAUUAAUGAUAAAAUUUUAUGUAAACAUAUUUAUUAUCAUAAUAUAUUUAAGAUUCGUUUAAGAGUUGAGACUUAAGGUAUUUAUAAGUAUUUUUUUCUUUCUUUUAUCUUCUGAAACAUCUUUUAAAAAUAAAAUUGUGAUAAAAUUUUACGUUGAAAAACAUAAAUAUCUCAUAUAAAUGAUGAUUACUUUAACAAUAUCAUUCGAUAAAUUUAAGAUUAAAAUAUUAAUUUUAUCAUGAGAUUAAUAAUAAAAUCACAUAUCUCUUAAAUCCUCGAUUAAAAAGAUAAGUCAUUCAUAAUACAAUUCAAGAUAAUUUAUUGGUAUUAUUGUAAAUUUCUCUACUAUUUCUAAAACAAUUAUAUAAUAUUAUAUAUUUUAUGUUGAAUGUUUAUUAAAAGGAAAAAUCUAUUCUAAAUGGUUCUCUUUGUCACCUCAAUCAACUUUGAUUGUUAUAAGGAACUACAUAUUAAAAAAAUGCAGAUUUUAACUUAUAAUAAUUAUUGUAUCCUUGAAUUUAUUUAUUUUUUAUUAGAGGAAUAGUGGAUCUGAUCUUUAGGAAAUUAAGAAAUGGUAGAUGAGUGUAGGUAUUAUAGGUAGUAGCAUAACAUAGUUGCAUUCUUCCCAAUAGAAGAAAAAAGAAGUCUUAGACAUAGUUGGCCACAUGCUCUUAUCUCUUUGAAAUAAAUAAGAGUAUUAAAUUAACUUUCUCCUCUUUCCAUAUCUUCAACUUAUAUAAUAAUAUAACUUCCAUACUACUUUUUCUUCAUCCUUAAUAUGUUGCAUUCUAUAUCAAAGAAAAAAAUUAUACACAAUAAAUUAUUUUUAAAUAGUUUUAUUUAAAAAUAAAAAUUACAUUUAUCAAUAAAAAUUACAUUUAUCCAUAAACGUCUCGAAUAUAAAAAAGGGUUCAUUGAUAUAGAAUAAAUAAUAAGAUAAAUAAUUGAAUAAACAACUAAAAUGUUAUUUAAUUUGUUAUGUAUUUUCGCUACAAGAAAAGCUUUUACAAUGAUAUGAAAUUUAUAGAUAUUGAAUUUAAAAAUUUAUCCCAUUUAUAUAUUAUUCAACUUUUCCAUUUCUAUCCUAUAAAACUUUACAUUUACAUAUUAGAACCAUGAUAUUUUGUGAAUAGAUUAUGUGUCACUAUCUAUUUUAUUGGUUUGUAUAUUUAAAACGGAUCAAUAACACACUAUCACAUAAAUGGUUAUAAAAAAUAGGUUUAAACCUCUUUUUGGUCCCUAAGUUAUGAACGAAUAUUCAGUUUAGUCCCAGCUUUAAAAAAAUGUAAACCUUUGAUUCCUAAGUUAUAAAAAAUGUAUCAAAUGAGUCCUUUUUUGACGUUAAUGGUCAAAGUACAAAGAUCAAUCUAAAGUGCUGUUAUUAUUAAGAAACAAAUCAGAGCAAUCUAAAGAUGUAGCAGUUGUUAAGAAACAACCAAAAAAAGUAUUUCAAGUUAAAAAAGAACUCAUUUGAUACAUUUUUUAUAACUUAGGGACCAAAAAUUUACAUUUUUAAAAACGGAGACUAAAGUGAAUAUCCGCUUAUAACUUUAAUGAUCAAAAAGAGGUUUAAACCUAAAAAAUAUUAUUAAAAAUAUAUUUUCCUUACCUUUAUAUUUCAAGAUGAAUAAACUAUUUUUUUUUUAAUUCAUCAAUGUUGUUUUGUAUUAAUUUUUUAGCAUGAGAAAAUUUUCGAAAAAUAUGAAGAAGGGGUCUUAUAGUGUCACGUCUUCUUUUUCAUAUGCCAUUUACAAUGGAACAAAUUUUGACAACCCGAUCGAUACUUUUGGUGUUGCAUGUGUGGGAAUCUAAUUGGUAACACAUUUUUACUCAAAAACAAAGAAUCUGCUGCACCACUCAUUUUCUUCCACAUUUCUAACCAAAGUCUUCGCUUCUACAGAAGAGUAAUAACUGCACUAAUAAGAGACCUACCAAGUGUUCGACAAAAUGACAUAACUAGUAUUUUUCACCAUAGUGCUUGCUUUGCUUUCUUUGCUUUCAUUUUUUUUUUAUGAACGGUCCCAAAUGGUAGAUGGUUGAGUUGGGGAUAGACAAAGCUUUAUCUUUAUCAAUCUAUUCAAGUAUUAUUUCCUAAGCACUUUCGUGUUUGUAGUUUCCAUUUUCGUUUAUUUUCGUUCCUUAGAGAGCAAUCUUUAGCUUGUUUUGAUCCCACACAAUAACAUAUACAUAUAUAGUAGCAUAGAGCAUCCCAAAAAGAAACUCUCUGCUUUCAUUUCGAUGCCCACCAUUCUUUUCGUUUUCCUUUUGCAUAUUGAGAAUUAUUCUUUCCCUUUGAAUGCAUGAGUUCUUAAUCAAAGAAAGAAAAAGAUAUAUCGAUCCUCACCCUGUAAAACAUAUCUGGAUAAGAUUUUAUUCUUCAACACAACAUUGAAAUUUCAGAUAAUUCCAAACACCACAUCAUCUAUUGUUACAUGUUUCUUCUCAAACUUUCGAAUUAUUCUUCCAAAUUUCUUGCCAACCCUCCAUUCCAAAUCUUGUUAUCUUCACAUAAAAUAUAUACGCCAAUCUAACUAAUCAAGAUUAUGUUGGUUCCUUCCUUUAAUCGAGUCCAAAGUUUUAUAUUAGAUAAACAUGAAAAAGAUAACUACUAUAUAAAUAAAAUAAAUUAUAAAUUCAUUAAAUUUUAGUGUUUUGGUAUAUUAUAUGAAAAAUGAUACAUUGACACACAAUUUUUUACUCUUUUUUACUUUUUAUUCUAUUUUUUCUUGAAAAAAUAUAAAAAUUUACAUUUUUAUAACCAUUUUAUCCUAAAAAUGUAUCAUAGUAUCAUUACUCAUAUUAUAUAGACUCAUUUAUGAUUCAUUCUAACACACUUUUACAUUCAUUUCACUCAUAGUACAAAGAUAAAAUUAUCAUAUUUGUAUUUUUUUAAAAAAAGAUGAGAGUAAAAUAUAAGAAGGGUUACAUAUGUUUUUAGUCCCUAUAGCGAUUUUGAUUUUAGUCUAUCUUUCAAACUAAGGUACAAUUUACUCCUUCAACUUUAGAAAACUAUGGUUUUAGUCAUUUUUACCAAAUUUUUUUAACUUUAUUUGCUGUUUUAAACGCAUUUCUCAGUUAACAUUGAAGCAAAAAUGUGUCAAAGAGUGUAAGUAAUCCAAAUGUUAUAAUGAAACAUGUUUGAAACAGUAAAUAAAGUUAAAAAAAUUUGGUAAAAAGGAGUAAAAUCUGAGUUUUCUAAAGUUGAAGGACUAAAUUGUACCUUAGUUUGAAAGAGGGAGUAAAAUCAAAAUCGUCCCAUAAUAUAAGAAGUAAAAAUAUAUUUAACCCAUAUAAAAAAAAUAAUAUCAAAUGAAAGUAUCAUUUUUCUUAGUUCUUAUAAACUUUUUUUAUGUCUCUCCUUAAACCAUCUGCAUAUAUAUCUUAAGGUUGUAUGUCGACAACUUUAUGGAAGAUUAACUGAAAGAAAGAAAAUGCAGAUUGUUGAAAGCACAGUAUAAAAUAUCUUCCUCUAGAAAAAGCUUUUCUUCUGAUACUUACUGUGUGGAAUGUCUCCUUUAAACUAUUGUGGAUAAAUUAAACUGAACUGUGUUGUUUCUUUUCUGCAGUGGUGGGUAUUGCUAUUGUGCGGCAGCUAAUCAGCCAUGAUAGUCAAUCUAAGGCUACCAUUUUUGAUCAUAGCAUAAACAAAUUGAAAAAGAUAAACACUUUGAUCUCAUUUUGUCAGAUUUUUUUAUUAUAAUUCCACCACUUUAACCGACCUUUGUUGCCAAAAUGCGACUUCUUGGCUAACUCAGCAUGCUUUUUCGCUCCAACAGACACCAUUUCCUUUAUUACAAGUUGCAGAAAUUCUUAUAUUCCUUCUCAUUUUUUAGGGUUUUGUAUGCUUGUUAUGUACAUAUUCUGUCAACCUUCAUCUCGUCUUCAUGUUGUAGUCAAAUAUAUACUUAGCUUGAACGAAGUUAGUCUGUUAUUUUCUGUAACGAAAAACAAAAUGUAACUACUCCCUUUAGACCAUUGAUUUCCAAUAUAAAUGAUUUCGGUUAAUUUUUUUUUUUAUUUUUAUAUUCUUAUUAUUAGUUAAUAUCAGAUUUUUAAUAAUAAAUCUUGUUAUGAUAAAUUUUAAAUAAUUUUUAUUUUAUUUAAAAAAAUUAAACUUAAGUCUAAUUCAAUUUAUAAAAAAAAGUUGUAAAAUAAAAUUUAUAUCAAAUUUAUAUUAUAAUUUUGUUUUAUAUCUAUAUUUAUUAUUAAACUUAUUAUUAAUGAUAUUAAAUGUAAGCGUGUUAAUAUCACAUUCCUUUUUAUAAAAAUUUCAUUCUAUUUUUAAUAUUUUAAAAUAUUGUAAUACAACUAUAUUUUUAUAAGAUAGUAAAGCAAAAUAUCAUAUUACUUUUGAAACAAAUAAAAUAAAGUAUUGAUAUAACUUUUUAAAAUUGUAAUGGAAAUCUAUAAAUUAGAAAUGAGUUUAAAUUUGAGUUAAAUAUGUCUAAACUUUUGUUAAAAGUUGAAAUUAGUCUCUCUUUAUAAAUUUUAACUAAUUUAAUCUUUCAUCUUUAUAAUUGUAUAAAUUUAGUCGAAUUAAUUUUGUUUUGUUAAAUUUAUUUAAGAUUUUAAACAUGUUUCUCACUUAAUAUUAAAAAAAAUUAGAUAAUAUAAAGAACUCAAAUAUUAUUUUGUAAUAUAUUUGAAACAUAAAAAAAAUUAACAAAAUUUGAUGAAAAGAAUUAAAUCCACACAUUUUAAAAGACAAUAGACUAAAUUAAUCUAAAAUUUAAUAAAAAAAUAUUAUUUUAAUUUUCACUUAAAAUUAAGAAAUAAAAACAUAUUUAAUUAGUUAAAUUUUAAUAAAAUGCAAUUGACCAGUUAAAGUUCAUUAUUCAUUAAAAUAGUAUUAGUAUUAUUCACAACAAUGUUUGUUACUAUUAUACUAUUAUCAUGAUCAUGUUAUACCAUUGAUGAAUAUCUAGUUUGCUAUGUUAGGAUAAGUGUAUAAAAGGUUCCCUUGCAUAUAGAUUAUUUUUGCAUCUAGGUUUACCAUUACUCCUACUUGAAUAGUGUUUCAAUAAUUGAGAGAAUUCAUGCAUUCCAAUCACAGAAAAUCCGGAGGCCAAGUUGCUGUAUAUAACAAAAUGAACAAGUGUAUUUAGGAGAGAACAAAAUGAAAGGAGAGAAAAGAAGUUUCAAAGUUAAUUAAUGCCAGUGUAAUUAAUUUUGUUUCAUUAGGGUAACGAAAGUUCUUAUUGGUACUAAAAAUAAAACUAUAUUAUAAUUUAUAAAUAAGUGUAAAUUUUAUUUUAUAAAUUUAUUUUGUAAAAUUGAGUUAAAUUUAAAAUUUAUAUAAAUAAAUACAAACUUAAUUCUAUAAAUUAAUUUUAUAAAAUUAAAUUGCACUUAAAAUCUAUUUUCUAAUAAUCGUAAUUAUAGAUUUGAAAGGCAUGCUUAGAUUGGAGUGGUGGUCUUGUCUGUUUCCAAGUGUUGAAGGUUGACAACAAAGGUUAUUCUCUGAAACAACAUUAUUUAAACAAGGGAAGUUGCGUAGGUAGCCACGACACCAUAGUUUUUAAUUAUCUAUCAUCUCUCUAUAACAUUGACAACUCCAUAAUCGACCCCUUACAAUGUUUUUUGUCUUUCUUUUAAGAAAAUUGUGGGCAUUCAAAGACAAAGAUAGUGAUAGAAAAUUCUUAAAAAUAAUCUCUUAAUUAUUGUGUUUUGUUUUUUUUCAAUAUUUACAAGGAAGAAGUGCACAAGGUUGAGAAUACAAGUAUGAGUCCAAGUUCCACAUUGGAUAAAAAUGAAAAAGUAAAACAUUAUAUAAAGAUAAAAGAUUCAUUAACCUAUCAUUUUAAAGUUUUGAGUAGAGAGUGAUGUCAAUUCCUCAUAUGGUUGGACUCAUAUCUCAUUGAUAUUGUGUCUCUUCCAAUUAAUCUCCUCUUUAAUAUACCCAACACACACGUUGGAAUCUUGUUGAAACUAGAGCCUCUUUUUUUAAGCAUUAAAAUUCAAAUUCCACCCAUUUGGCCAUGUUACCUACCCCCUUCUUUUUGUCCAAUGCGCAGUAAUAUAAAAAAUAAUUAUUUUUUUUCUUCUAACUAAACUAUUAUUUCAACGAUCACAUUCAUAAUCAAAACAAUUUUAGCAUUUAAUGUGAUUGACAUGUGAUUUUACUUAUUUAAUAUUUCUUCGCUUUCUUUUGUAAAAUACACUGUAGUUUGGUGCUUUUACUAAAAUCGUUAUCGCGAGAAAAAUUAAAAUUAAUCAUAUAUCAAUUUACACGUAAAUUUUUCAUAGUAAAAAAAAAAGACCACGUCUAAAUUUUAUUAUUUAAUAAUCUAUUUUUUGCUUUGUAAAAUUUUGGAUUAUUUUUAUUUAAGUUUUCAUAAACUCUAAAUUAUUAAACCAAUUUAAAUUUGUCCUCUUCACAAAAUCCAAUAAGUAAGGACAGGUUCAAGGAAUGAAAUGAGUGUGGGUCUAUGGUCAGUCACAAACACUAUUACACGUGUCAAUUCAAAUGGAAGAGAUGUGGAUCUUUCACCAUUUUCAUUUUAAUUAAAUCAUGAUAUUUAUAAAAAACCUUUGUAGAGUAUAAUUUUUAAAUUAUUGUGUGAAAAGAUACACCGACUAAUUUUAGAGAGGUUCGAGUCUUGAUUUCAUUCACACUAUAACAUAUUUUGUUAGAGGUUUGAUAAAACAAAUUUAUGAGUUUUUUUUUUUAUCAAACAAAGUUAUAAGUACGAAUUUCAUAAGUUAUUAUUUGAUAAAUAAGAUAAGAUUUAUAAUAUAGAAAUUAAAAUAAAUUUUUUAGAAUUUGAUUAAGUUUAAAAUUUAUUUCUUUGAGUUUUUUUUAUAAGUUUUAUUUCAAAAUCUAUCAUUAAAAAUUUUGAGAAUUUUUUUAUAACAUUAAAAAAAUCAUUACGUACUCAAUUCGUCUAAAAAAAUAAUAAUUAGUUAUAUUAUAAUGAAUAUUUUAUAUAUCAAUAUAUAAAUUAAAAAUUAUUAAUAUUUAAGAUAUUCUAUGAAUAAAAAUUAUAAUUAAUUUAGGAAUUAUAAUUUAAAUUAUUCUCUAACAUUAGUCAAUUAAUAAUAUUUUAAUCAUAAAAAUUUAGUGUCUAAGUUAAUCUUCAAUCCAAUUUAAAUAAUAACUUAUAUUAAUUUAUUAAUAGUUAAAAUCUUGAUAAAUAACGUUAGAAGACAAUUUAAAUUUUAAUUUAUAAACAAAUUAUAAUAUUUUAUUUUUAAUAAAAAUUAUUUCAGAUUCAUGUCUAUAAUUUUUAUUUAUAAAUUUAUAUUUAAAUUAGUUAUUAUAAUGAUUAAUUGUUGUUUUAAUGAUUUUCGAUAUUGUUUAAUAUAAAUAUAAUCUUAUAUAUAUAUAUAUAUAUAUAUAUAUAUAUAUAUAUAUAUAUAUAUAUAUAUAUAUAUAUAUAUAUAUAUAUAUAUAUAUAUAUAUGCUGUAUUCUCUAGUAGUUCUUAAUUUAAAUUGUAAUCCAAUCACUCGUUCACAUAUACUACAACUAACAAAAUAAAUAUAUGUUAAAUUAGUUCAAUUAUUUCAUCUUCACCCAUGUACUACAAUAUUACAGGCUACAAAAUUCUUCAAAAGUUAUAUUAAUAGUUUCAAAUAAUUUUCUAUUUCGAAAGUUUUUUAGCUCGUGAAUAUUUAAAUAGCAAAUAAAUUCAAAAGUUUUCGGUAAAAAGAAAAUAUAGAAAAUUUGAUAAUAAUGACUUCAAAAGUAAGAAAAUAAAUAUGGGAAAAUAAACUAUCAAAGCAUAUAACACGACUCAAAGAUUUCUUAUUUAAUUGGUAUUUGCAUCUUUUUUAAAAAUUAUCUUCAUAGUAUUUUCAAUUUCAUACGUAAAUUAAUUCGGGGUUUACACGAGACCAUUCAAUCCCAGAAAACAAAUCAUUCAUAUACAGGUGUAGUGUUUGUGAACAUUUUUCUUCAUCAUUUCGCAUUCUUUCUUUAUGUUUAUUUUACGUAUUAGAGUGUCUUACGACUGGCCACAAUAUCAUAAAAAUUCUGAUAGAAAAAAAGUUCUAUCUGGCUUAAUCAACGAACCAUUAUUCAAAAUAUUAUUCUUUAUCAUAAUAUAAAAAAAUAGAAUUUAAGUUUAAUUCACUUAUAUUCUUUAAAUUAGUUUUAUUUUUGUCGAGAUAUAUUUAAAACACUUUGUAUAGACAUCAUUUUUAUGUUGAAAUAUAUUCUACAGAAAACUAAACAUUAAUAUGUAGUGCGAUAACAUCUAAUAACACGUAAUUAUAUGUCUAACAAAUAUAAAAAUCAAUAACAUAAAUUCUAAUUCAUGAUUUUUACACCAUAUUAAAAAAUAAUUCUAAAUUUAACUGAACUCCACAAAAUUAAUAUAUAUAUAUUUUAUCAUAUAAGAGUUUCAACCAUCAUUUAAAUGUUACUAAAAGAAAAAGAAAAAAAAAAUAUUUAUCAGAAAAUUUGUUUAAUGAAAAUGAUAUAAUUGAAUAUUGAUACCUUUUCCUUGCAUGAAAAAUAGAAUCUGCUCCCCACCCAAAGAAAAAGAGGAAGAAGAAGAUGGGAAGAAUUAUAUAUUGAUAUGUAAGUGUGUGUGAUAAAAAUGUAUCAUAUGUUUGAACAAAAAGGACGUCAUAACCAGAACAUGUCGUGCCAACCUUUUUGUUUCUUAGGAUUAUUAACUACAAUUUCCAGGAGUAAGCAGCUUUUACUAUAAUAUUGCAUGAAAUCAAACUCUUUCUCUUUUCCAAAAGAAAGAAAGACUAAUAAUUAAAAUGGCAGCACAUAUAAAACUAUGAUACAAAAAUUAAAAUUAUUUUAAGAUAUUUUCACUUCUCUCUCUUCCGACUUUUUAUAUGAAACACGGGUAAGAAAAGAACAUGUGGACGACCAUGUUUUCAGUACUGAACCAUAUUUUUGGGGAUUUCAAAGUUAUAAGGUUUCGAUGAACUUAACUCCAAUGUCCUUAGAUUCUUUUCGCACGUGGAUCUUGUACCCUCGCAACAUGGGCACACCCAUCUUCCUCUCUCCCAAAAACAUGUGUAUCUUUUUCCAAUAACUUGACCUACCAUCUUUAAACCAAAGUUCCACCUUUUAAUUACACAUUUUCUCAUCUAUUUUGGUAUAAAGUCAGAUAUUACAGUCCAAACAUUUUUUUACAUUCUUUUCAAGUCUUUUAAUGUUAUUUUAGGUUUUUCUACAAAAUUUUUCUUAACGAGAUUUACGUGGUAUUUUGUUUCAUCCGUUGUCAGAUAAUUUAUUAAUUCUAUUUUUAUGUUUAAGAUGUUUAUAUUUCAACGUGAAAAGAAUAUGGUAAAAGUCUCACAUUAACUAUAGAUAAAACUAAUUUAUAAUAUAUAAGUAGAUGCAAAUUUUACUUUAUAAAACGAUUUUGAAACGGUUAAGUUAAAUGUAAAAACAAUUUUUCAAGAUGACAUCAUAAUCAUAAUCUUAACUAAAUCUAUAUAACAUUUUGUUCUACCAAUUAUCGGACCAUCUAUUAAUUCUACUCGUGACAAUAAUGAUUUUGAGUUGGACGCAGACAGACAUUGCCCAUACCCUAACAUGUUUAGUGUACAUUUCUCAUUUAAAGGACCUUCUCUGUUACCACACCCUUCUCUUUUAUAUAUGCUCUUCGUGUCUUUUCCUUUUUCUGCUCUUUUCUCCACUUUUUCUUCAAUUAUCAUACGUAUUUCCAUAACAUUCCACGAUACCUCUAGAAAAUGCCAGCACAAUUCUAGUAAUUAAUCUCUUUUUUCAAAUAUUUAAAUACACGUAUUUCUUGCUUGCUAUUUAUUGAUGGCCCUAUCAGUAAUUUUCUUUUAUUAUAAUCGUAACAAAAAAUAAUUAAUCAUUAUAAUGUUAAUUUAGAUAUCAAGUUAUAAAUUAAAGAUUAUUAAUAAUUAAAAUAGUUUUUAAAUGAGUUAUUAUAGUGAAUUAAUCUUUAAAUUGGUUAUUAACAUUAAUUAUUAAGAUCUUGAUUAUGAAAAAGAUUAUUUAAAAUUGGUUGUUAUUUAAAGAUUUUUUAAAUGUAUUUAUAUCUCUCUUGCGUAUUAAAUUUAUAUUUAAGAUUCAAGUAUUGUAAGCGUAAUUUAGAUCUUAAAUGAAAUUUGUGUUAUGAUAGUAAAAUGUAUUUAUUUAUUUAUUUUAGAAAUGGUAUUUUUUUUAAAUAUGAAUGAGACAAAGUCUUAUAAAAUCAUUUGGAACGAGAUUUUAUUCAUAAUAUGACCAAAAAUAUAUAUUAAAACCUCAUCACACGAUUUUUAUAACGAACAUCACCUUAACUUUAAUAUAUAUAUAUAUAUAUAUAUAUAUAUAUAUAUAUAUAUAUAUAUAUAUAUAUAGAUUUUUAUAACGAACAUCACCUUAACUUUAAUAUAUAUAUAUAUAUAUAUAUAUAUAUAUAGAUAUAGAUAUAGAUAGAUAGAUAGAUAUUCAUGUCUUUGAUGUUGGAGUACGAUUUUUUUCCUUUCAAAAUUAAAAUUGAUCGUUUUAAUCUUCAUGAUUUAAAGUAAAAACAAUUUUUCACUUCCUCUCACUUAAAUAUCAUUACUGGCUUAAAAAAAUUAGCAUCAAAAUUUCGAGUAACUUCAAAUUUACAUUAUUAUUAAAUAAUUUAUUAUUUAUCUUCUCUUGUUUUAAAGUAUUCAAAAUUGAAGCUUGAGGAAAACAAUUAAAAUAAAGCUUUUUUAAAGAUGAAAAGAUAAAAAAUUAAUCUGAAUUUGGAAGAUGAAAAUAAACUUAACUUCAAUUUGAUAUUAUACAAAAUGAUUAAGUCGAUAAAAAAGAACUUUAUCGUACAUUAAGAAUUAAUUAUUUUCUUUCAUUUAUUGUUGCCACAUUAAUUUUCAUUUAUUGCUGAUAAAAAAAUCACAUUAAUUAUGCAAAUUGUAAAUCUCAAUCCUACUGUGGGGUGGGGUAGAGCGAUAAAUAUAAAGAAGCUAGAAGAAGAAAAAGUAAAAGAAAAAAAAUGAAAAAUAUAUAAUCAUGUAGCGAGAAAGUAAAAAGAAGUAGAAAAAAAAUAAUAUACAAUUUAUAUAUUUAUAAUCACCCAACUAUUUAACAAAUUCUCUUUCCGAGGAGAAGGUCAAAAUCAAAUAGGAAUGAAAAAAUUAUUUUCUUCUCCCAUAAAUAUCUUGUUUAAACUAAUUAACAAUAAAAAAGAAAUUAAUAAAUCAACUAAUACGUGUUUAAAUUUAUAAAUCCAAUUAUUAAGAAAAGAGAAACAUGAACUAGUCUUAAGAAAAAGUGAACAUCUUUUGAAUAAAACAGCAUAAUUAAAACAGAUGAGACAGACUAAACCAUGAUUAGACUAUUUAACCAAUAGUGUGUGUCCAGGUUCAAGGGAAAAUUACUGUUACUUGUAAUGAAAUCUUUCUUCAACUUUGUCCACUUUCAGAACCAUUCAACAAAAAUGUCUUCCACAUUCAGUUAGUCAAACAAAAACCUCAUUUAAAAAAUAUAAUUAAAAAAUGAGAUUAUUAUUCCAUUUUACUAAAUGAAUUGAAAAAAAAAUGUUUUGCUAAAAUAAAUUACACAAAAAAACUGAAUAGAAAAAAAAAAAGAUAGAGAGAGUAAGAAUUAGAAGUAGGUAAAUAUUAUUUUAAUAUAUAUAAAAGAAGGGUGAGAAAUACAGAGUAAUGGCCCAUGCCCCAUACUCGAAAGGACCCAUUCUGAGAACCAGCACCUAACAAUUUCACCCCUUUUAUGAUACACAUUCAUUAUUCCUUAUCACCAUAUUGCAGAUGAUUGAUUACAAUUUCUGAACAGACUCGAAUAAGAAAUCAUGAAAUUUUUUGCUGUUUUUGUUUUCUUAUCUCAGUACUGCAAUAUAUCUGCAGAAGCCAUGAUAGGGUGGUUCAGAUACCCCAUGUUCAUGGGGUUGAAGAAGGUGGUGUUAUUGGUGGUUGGUUCAACGAAGGUGGUGCUGCCAAAACCCGCAUUUAGGACUUCGAUGAUCUCGUUCAGAGACUCUAACCUGUGGCUCAGCUCACCCACCUGAGCCCUGAGCACCGAGUUCUCAGCCUCAACGCUCAAGAACUGCUGCGUGGUGAUGUUGACGGUGGUCAGUAUCUGCUGAUUCUCCUUUCUCAGCUGAGCCACUUGGGUAACCAGAUCGUCCAAGUGCUUCUGCUUCCUCAUGCGAGAUCGCCGUGCAGAUUCGCGAUUCGAUAUCAUUCUCUUCCUCUUUCUCUGAUCCAUUACCGCUUGCAAGUCCUCCUCAGAGCCCGAGUUCUGAAGCAGAGAGGAUGAACCCGAACAUGUUCCACUUGAGGAAGCCAUGGUAUGAGACACAGGACAACACAACACAACACAAUACAAUACAAUACAACACAACCCUUCUCAGUUAACACAGUUCGCAGGACCCAGACACUAGACACGAACAAACUCUGAAAAUUAUUACUUUAUGACGACGACGAAGACGAUAAUGAUAAUGAAAAUAGAAAUAUAGCAGUAGAUAUUAUAGAUUUAUAUGAUAUAUAGUAAGUGAUAUAGUGAGGAAGAGUUAGAAAUCAUGAAACGUAGUACAACCAAUAGAGGAAGGCAACUGAGAAGGAUUGAACUAAAUGGGUCCUGCGCCUAACAGUGGAAUUGAUCAUACACCCGGAAAAGAAGAGCUCACUGAGAAUCGAAUACAUGAAUCUCAAACAUCAACAACAAGAUGUUGGACAUUUAAUUUGCGCUUCUAAUAUCUACUUCCUGGAGAGGAGAAGGAAAAAAUUGAGUCAAAAUUCUCCAACCCAAUUUCGUAAAGUUUCAAACUUUGGUGCUGAAAAAUGGAAAGGGGUGAGAUUUGUUAUGUGGGGUUUGGGAUGAUGAACAUGGUGAGGUUGAAGAGAAGGUGUUUGAUAGAAAGUCAGUGUGAGAUGUGGAAGAAAGAGAAAUAUCUAUAUAUGUGUGUCUGGGUAGCGAUAUGUGUAGAGUGUGAUGGGAAAGAGGGAGAGAGAGGAAGAGGAGUGUAUGUGAAUGAAGGGAGGAAUUUAUAGAAGGGAAAAAGGCAUCAAGUUGGUGAAAAUAAUUAUUAAUUAUGAAAUCCUAGAGAAGGAAGAAAGAAAGAAGCAAAGUAGGGUGUAAUUUACUUUGGGAUCACUUCAUGAGAAAACAAGUUGAAAAGCUUGAAUUUAUUAGAAAAAAGUGUGAGAGUGAUGAUUUUAAUGGUUGAUUAAAGAGAUUGGUGGAAGGUGAGAAGUAAAAUUGUAACAGUGUAGGAGAGAAGAAGAAGAAGACGCCACAAGUGUCCAGAGAUACUACAGCUGGGAACCAACAAUCACAGAAAAUGAUGAUCACAGUUUGAGAUACAUCCAAAACUGGCAUCACACUCUCACUCCAACACAUUACUGUUUCAGGAACUUCUCUAUGUCUACGUAUCCAUUACUACUACCAUCAAACCUCUAUCUUUUACUUCAAAUACAAUCACAUAAUGUAAUUAAGAUGUAAAACUAAUCAUAUUCUUUUCUUAUAUAAUAUAUAAAAUGAUAGUCAGACAACAAUUUUUUAUAUUAUUUUAAUAUUAUUUAUAUCUUAUUUAUUAUUAAUUUAUAAUGAUAUUCAUAAUUAUUAUUAUUGAUUAUAAAAUAAUUUUGAAUAUAUAUAUAAUUUGUUAAUACUUAUAUAAAUUAUACAAUAUUAUCGUCUUUCAAUAAUCAAACGGUCAAUACAUCUUGAUUUAAUGUGAAACAUAUAAUUUAUUAAACAUUCAAACCAUAGAUAAAAUUAGUAAUAAAAAUAAUUAUGAUAAUUUUAAUUUUAAUCAUUAUAAAAUUAAACGAUAUUCAAAUUAAUACUAAUAUGAAGUCCAUUAAAAAAUUCACAAUAUAUAAUUGAUUGCUUUUAUUAGUCGUGUAUUACAAAAAUAUUUAAACAAAUACUAAUUUUCAUCAAAAUGUUUUCUACAUAUAAAUUUUGACAUUAUUUAUUUAAAAAUAAUCUCAUAAACCGAAACAUAAAUAUUUACAAUAUACAUAAAAAAAAAUAUUACUUUUGUAAUUUUGUAUAAUUCUUUUAAAUUUGAUUAAAGAAAAACAAAAUCCGUUUCUGAUAUAUACACCACUGAUAGAGUAUAAAAUCAAUUAUAUAAUUUUUUAUACCAUUUAACUAUUAUGUAUGUCAUCACAUUAGUUAAUACGGUUAUCUGUAUUCUUAGUUUUACCGAGAACUACGAAAAAGGAGAGAGUGUAAUCUACUCGCUUAAAGAAUAGUACAAAAGAAAUUAUGAAGUAUGUUACACUUAUCAUCGUUUAGUUAAUUAUCACCUUCUUAUUAAUCAAAUAUAACUAAUUACACCAUUUAUAAAUCUAACUAAUAUUGUCAUUUUAUGUAUUUUAUUUUAUUAUUUAUAUAGAUCCGAAAAAGAAUUAUAAUUUUUAAAACUUAUUUUAAACCACAAAGAGAUAUUGUUCUAGAGAAGCAUAUAUUUACUUGAAUGAUAUUCUUUAGGACGAAAUAAUGUGCUAAGGAAUAAAUUUUCUUUCUCUAAUUUAAGCAUUUUUUUUUAAUUUCAAAUAAAGUAAAAUGAUUAAUCACAACAAAGUUUCCCUUUUUUUAAUUUAGUAAAAUGAAAAAUAUUUAAAUUUUAAAAUAAUAUUAUCAAAAAAAGUUAUAUAAGCUGUUGAAACGAGAGGAAAUUAAUCGAUAUAUAAAAUUAAGUCAAAUAAAUGAUUUUCAACAUUAUAUAUUAAAUUCUUUAUUUUAAAAGUCCAAAUUUAAAGAAAAAUGGUUUCAAAUGGAAAAUAUAAUAUUUAAAAUACGAAAAGAGAUAAUUUAUUUUGAGAAAGAAUAAUUGCAAGGGCAUUAUUUCUAAUAAUAAAUAUUUAUCAUGUAAAAUGGAAAUGUCUUAUAUUUUACAUAAAAUAUACUUGUUUUAUUUGUUUGCAUGACUAAUUCAAUUUGGUGAAGAUAACAUUGAUGUAACGACAUGUGAUUAUGUGCAACAUAAAUUAUUUUAGUUGACAUUGCUUGAACAAAGUAACUUAUUUUAUAUUUUUGAGUGAAUUUGUGGUCCCUCAUAGAGUGAAAACCUCUUUCACAACAUAAUCAUAUGUCUGACCAAUUAAAUGAUCCUCCACUUUUUCUAGUGCUCGUGAGUCCUACGGAAAAACAUUUCAAAAAUGGUAUGUUUAACUUUAAUAAAUAAUAUAUAUAUAUAUAUAUAUAUAUAUAUAUAUAUAUAUAUAUAAUAUUUAUUAGUAAUUUGAGAUUACUUAAAAAAAAAUAAUUUUGAUUUAAACUUUUGAUUAUUUGAAAAUUGAUUUUUUCAUAAAUACUUUAAUUGUUUAAAAAAUAUUAUAUGAAGUUUUCUUAUAAAGUAUAUUUAUGUAAUAGGUGUUGAAAAUGUUUAAUUUUUAUUCAAAUUCUAACUGAUUUGUUUCUUUUUCAUCAUUUCAAAAGAUCUCUUAUUAAUAGAAUUGAUGAGUAUGUAAAUUUAUGUCUAUUAUUAUUUUAUUUAAUGUGAAAUUUUGUUUAUAUUCAACCAUAGAUAAUUAGAUUUAGAGCUGUCAAAACGAGUAAUCCGACCCGACCUACCACGAGUUGGUCACUUAGUGAAUCAACCCAACCCGACUCAUUUAUUAGCGAGCAAGAAAUAUCUGAACCUAACUCAACCCACCACGGGUUGGUGGGUAAACGGGUUGGCUCACUAGCCCAUUUAAUUAGUUUUUUUAAAAUAAAAUAAAAAAUUACAAAUUUUUUAUAUUCAAAUUUAAACAAAUUUCACUCCCAAAAAUGAUAUUAAAGUGAAGACAAUUCAAAAUAAUAAUAAAAAGUAAAUAUUAUUCAAAUGUCACAAAAAAACAUACACAAAAAAAACUGCUCCUUGUAAAAUUUUAGUGAAAGUCACAACACCGUAAAUGAGAGCAAGUUUCGUGAGAGUGAUAUGUGAGAGCAAAUGUUACGUUUUUGGUAUACACAGUGAGUGAGUGAAGAGAGUACUUUACUUUUUAGGGUUUCAUAAAUAAAAUAAUAAAUUAAAAAAAUAAAAUUAGAUAGGUGGGUUGGCGGGUCAACCCGGCCCACCACGGGUUUAACCCGCACGAACCAAGUUUAAAUGAGUCGGGUUGAAAUAAAAUAAAUUCAAUUUUUUCAAACCCAACCCGAUCCAAACCCGUUAUAAACCGGAUUGACUUGUAGAUUGUGACAUGUUUUGACGGCUCUAAUUAGAUUCAAGUAAAAGAUGGCUAAAAACAAUGAAAUGGAAAGUAAUUUGUGUGGUAGAAUAAAAGAGAAAGAAAGUUAAUAAAAAAACAUACAAAAGAUUAUCUUUCAUUGAUUUUGUAUAAUGGUAACAAAAUGUCGAAUCUAUUGUAUCUUAAAUUUAUCGAAUAAAAUCGUUAAGAAAAUUUCUAUAAAUAUUAUUCAUUUUAAAAAUAAAAAUAAAAAAUAAAUUCCUACUUAAAUAAUUAAGUACUGAAAAAAAAAAUAACUUUUUCCCCCUUUACUUUUGUAUUUUUCCUAAAUCAAAUAUUACGUGAGUGUAAGAAUCUAUCCAAAUCAUAUUAGACAAUUGCCACUACCAUCAGUUUUGGAAUGUACAACUAUACAAUAAUAGUACGAAAAUUGGUGACAUUAUGUACCACAAAUCUCACCAAAUAGUUGAACGAACAGUUCAAUUUAAAAACAAAUCAACAUCGCAUUACAAAAUAUCACUCAGUAAGUAUGCUUCAACUUCAAAGCAGACAUUUUUAUGUUGUGAAUUCUACGUCUACGUAUUCCCAUAUACAGUACUAGGAAUAUAAUUUAAUAUUUAAAGUAUUAUUAAAAAAAAUUAAAAUGAUAUUUUCGUUAUCAUUUUAUUUCGGAAAAUUACACAAGCCGGGGCUGCUCUUUUUGUUAAUAAAAUAUUUUAAUCAUUAUUCCUUUAAAAUUUUAUAUUAAUUAAAACAAUACCGAUUACAAUAUAUAACACGAGAAAUGCUGAAUUUAUCGCAUUUAAUAUUUGAUAAAAUAUUCUUAAUUUUCACAUUUAAUCUCAUUAAUCUAAAAUACUGAAGUUCAAUUAGACUUAAUUUCAUUACUUUAAGAACGUACCAGUGGUCCAAAUUUGAAUCUCUCAACAAAAUUUCAACAUUAUAUUUUCUCAAACUAUUUAUGUCAAGAUUGUUUUAAAAAAAGUGUGAUUAAUUUUCAUUUUUAAUCAUAUUAUAAAAAUACUGGCCAGAAUCGGUUAACUAUUAAUAAAAAGGAUUAAAUAUGUUUUUAAUCUGGGACGAUUUUGGUUUUAAUUUCUUUUUUAAACUAAGGUAUAAUUUAGUCCUUCAACUUUAUAAAAUUCUGGUUUUAGUCUUUUUUAUCAAUUUUUGUUAAUUUUAUUUGUUAUUUCAAGCACGUUUCAUUAUAGCAUUUGGAUUAUUUACACUUUUGACACAUUUUUGUUUCAAUGUUAAUUGAGAAACACAUUUAAAAUAGCAAAUAAAGUUAAAAAAAUUUCAUAAGAAAAACUAAAAACAGUUUUCUAAAAUUGAAAGACUAUUUUAGUUUCAAAGAAGGAUUAAAACCAAAAUAUCCAGAACUAAAAACAUUAUAGUGUACCGAUUAAAGUGGCAUACACGCGAGUGCAGAACUGUUGAUGGUGCGCGUGACACUUGCUUCCAUAUUCUUGUCUGGUGGGCACGAAAUGUCGUUGUCGCCCACACGCAAGAGGGGGCGCUUGCACAACACAGACGGUAGGAGUGUGGCGAGUGGCGAAAACGUGCCACUAAGUAGAGUGUAGAAUCUAGACUAGGUAAUGUUCUGACACGAGUCACUUUUUCAAUUCAGAAAAUUAUUAAUAAUUAAUUAAAAUAUAAAAUACUACAACCGAGAUGGGAUGUGGCCUUGGUUGGUGUGCCCUACCAAUUCAAUCUCGCUUUUCAGAUCUGGGCCCCACCACCCUCUCAUCAAUCUGUUUUUCCAAUGUUACCCUUUUACCUUAUAAUUGUUUUUGCCAGCAUUAAAUAUGUUUUUACUUCUUAUAUUUUAAGACGAUUUUGGUUGUAGUUUCUCUUUC